rnacentral:lncRNA from 1 species
CACAUACUAUAUAGCACCAGUUUUGUUCUUUUUUUAGCCAGAAAAGCUUUUCAUUUUGCAUUAUUACUGGGCUUUACUCUAGUUACAUGAAAAACUGUGAACACACGUCACAUUUAUUGUAUAGCUAAAGUGCAUGCAUGCCUAAGCACCAUGCGAGCUGCAGAGAGUUCUAUCACUGGCUGGCCGACAAUGCGUCGCCGCCCUCCAGCCGGCACAUUGCCGGCAGCUGUGCCGCGAGCUGCUGCGCCUUUGCCACCUUUAGGCUGGCCGCCUGGUGCUCCACGCUAACAUGGUAUGAGCUGUAGUAGCCUUGUUGCCCUUGUCCUGAUUGCUGCCCUUGUCCUGUCUGUUGCAGAGAAGUUGGGUAGUACCCUUGUUGCCCUUGUCCUGGUUGCAGCCAUUGUCCUAGUUGUUGCCCUUGUCCUGACUGUUGCGGAGAAGUUGGGUAGUACCCUUGUUGCCCUUGUCCUGGUUGCAGCCAUUGUCCUGGCCGUUGCCCUUGUCCUGACAGCUGCGGAGAAGUUGGGUAGUACCCAUGUUGCCCUUGUCCCGAUUGUUGNNNNNNNNNNNNNNNNNNNNNNNNNNNNNNNNNNNNNNNNNNNNNNNNNNNNNNNNNNNNNNNNNNNNNNNNNNNNNNNNNNNNNNNNNNNNNNNNNNNNNNNNNNNNNNNNNNNNNNNNNNNNNNNNNNNNNNNNNNNNNNNNNNNNNNNNNNNNNNNNNNNNNNNNNNNNNNNNNNNNNNNNNNNNNNNNNNNNNNNNNNNNNNNNNNNNNNNNNNNNNNNNNNNNNNNNNNNNNNNNNNNNNNNNNNNNNNNNNNNNNNNNNNNNNNNNNNNNNNNNNNNNNNNNNNNNNNNNNNNNNNNNNNNNNNNNNNNNNNNNNNNNNNNNNNNNNNNNNNNNNNNNNNNNNNNNNNNNNNNNNNNNNNNNNNNNNNNNNNNNNNNNNNNNNNNNNNNNNNNNNNNNNNNNNNNNNNNNNNNNNNNNNNNNNNNNNNNNNNNNNNNNNNNNNNNNNNNNNNNNNNNNNNNNNNNNNNNNNNNNNNNNNNNNNNNNNNNNNNNNNNNNNNNNNNNNNNNNNNNNNNNNNNNNNNNNNNNNNNNNNNNNNNNNNNNNNNNNNNNNNNNNNNNNNNNNNNNNNNNNNNNNNNNNNNNNNNNNNNNNNNNNNNNNNNNNNNNNNNNNNNNNNNNNNNNNNNNNNNNNNNNNNNNNNNNNNNNNNNNNNNNNNNNNNNNNNNNNNNNNNNNNNNNNNNNNNNNNNNNNNNNNNNNNNNNNNNNNNNNNNNNNNNNNNNNNNNNNNNNNNNNNNNNNNNNNNNNNNNNNNNNNNNNNNNNNNNNNNNNNNNNNNNNNNNNNNNNNNNNNNNNNNNNNNNNNNNNNNNNNNNNNNNNNNNNNNNNNNNNNNNNNNNNNNNNNNNNNNNNNNNNNNNNNNNNNNNNNNNNNNNNNNNNNNNNNNNNNNNNNNNNNNNNNNNNNNNNNNNNNNNNNNNNNNNNNNNNNNNNNNNNNNNNNNNNNNNNNNNNNNNNNNNNNNNNNNNNNNNNNNNNNNNNNNNNNNNNNNNNNNNNNNNNNNNNNNNNNNNNNNNNNNNNNNNNNNNNNNNNNNNNNNNNNNNNNNNNNNNNNNNNNNNNNNNNNNNNNNNNNNNNNNNNNNNNNNNNNNNNNNNNNNNNNNNNNNNNNNNNNNNNNNNNNNNNNNNNNNNNNNNNNNNNNNNNNNNNNNNNNNNNNNNNNNNNNNNNNNNNNNNNNNNNNNNNNNNNNNNNNNNNNNNNNNNNNNNNNNNNNNNNNNNNNNNNNNNNNNNNNNNNNNNNNNNNNNNNNNNNNNNNNNNNNNNNNNNNNNNNNNNNNNNNNNNNNNNNNNNNNNNNNNNNNNNNNNNNNNNNNNNNNNNNNNNNNNNNNNNNNNNNNNNNNNNNNNNNNNNNNNNNNNNNNNNNNNNNNNNNNNNNNNNNNNNNNNNNNNNNNNNNNNNNNNNNNNNNNNNNNNNNNNNNNNNNNNNNNNNNNNNNNNNNNNNNNNNNNNNNNNNNNNNNNNNNAAUUGUCCUGGCUGCAGCUGCGAAGAAGUUGGGUAGUACCCUGGUUGCCCUUGUCCUGGCUGCCGACCUUGUUGUCCUUGUCCUGGUUGCUGCCCUUGUGCUGGUUGUUGCAAUUGUCCUGGCUGCUGCGGAGAAGUUGGGUAGUACCCUGGUUGCCCUUGUUCCGGUUGUUGCCAUUGUCCUGGCUGUUGCGGAGAAGUUGGGUAGUACCCUUGUUGUCCUUGUCCUGAUUGUUGCCCUUGUCCUGGCUGCUGACCUUGUCCUGGCCGUUGCGGAGAAGCUUGGCCUGGAUAGUAUGAAACCUGCUGCGGAGAAGUUACACUUGGGUAAUACCUUUUUAGUAGUGCAGGUAUUCCCCAAAAUAUACGUUGUUGGAGUUGCUGCGGUGGCGUGGUCUCGCCGGGGUAGAAAGAUCCGCCCUUGGGCGGCACCACGAUUUGCUGCUCGUAUUGUCCCGCGACCGGGCUGACGACGACGGGGUGGCACUCGGGGCUAAUGUCUCGGAGCUGCUGGUCCAUGACCUGCUGGCAUGCCUUGAGCUCGCGCUCCUGGAGCUCCUGGAGCUCGCGCUCACACUGUAGUUGCUCAGAGGCCUCACCUUCAGCGACGGUGAGAGCCACGAGGGCGACGACUACCGCCACAAAGAGGACUAACCGCUUAGCCAUCUCGGUGGACUAUCAGUGAAUUGAUCUCUAGUUUGUGGUGCUCGGUGUUGUGGGUGAUGAUAAGAUUGUGAAGGUUGGCUAGGCUUUUAUAGGGACGAGGUGAAGGUUCAGGACCAUGGCUGCGUGCACGGUGAGGUUUGUUUAGCCUAAGAAGAAAGCGCGAGAAGAACAAAAUCGGUUGGAAAAGCGCAGUUUGCCAACACAAAAGAAGCUGGAUAAGCAAGGAGCAAUUGGAGCUUUGCAAAACAGAUUUUUGGACAGUCUGCUAAAGCCACGUAAUCGGCGUAAUCCUAGUUCUGAUGUAUUGUUUGCAGAAGUGUGGAUGUUUGUAUACUGGUCUGUUCUUUUUUAUCUAAGAAAAGUGAUUAUCCUUCUUGGGGUUUGGCAGAAUAUGUGUCUGUUAGCCAUUGCUUUUGCAAAUCUACGGCCACUCAAAGCUUCUAAGCAUGUCGAGUAGUGGAAGGUAGCCUGCAUGGAACAAGUAAAUUGAUAACUCCUAAAGCCCAUUUCAGGUUUUGUUGCUUGUCAUGUAGUUGGAUUUCCAGCAACACGAAUCCAUGCUAUGACUCACAAUAUCUAUCCAGUGACUCACAACAUCUAUCUAUGCUAUGACCUGCCAUACAAAAAAGUUGGUAGAAUUUUGGACUUAUGGAAACACCUUUUCAUGACAAAUGAACUAGCCAAACCAUGUCUAAAAUUAAUAUAGGAUCUUCAGAGAAAAUCCGCGUCAAAUAGUUUGGUUUACACAGAAUAGAAAAUUUGUUUACUUCCCAAAUGAGUUCAACUAAUGCAGAUUUAAUUGUCCAUUAUAUCCUCCUCCUAUGUUUAACCUCUUAUCUUCUUCUAUGAUCUCCAAGUGUUUCUUCCCCGCCCAUGCCUCUCUGCAUGUCCAUUGUCUUUCCCUGGCCUCCGUAGACGAUGCACUUCUUCUCUCCUUGGCCUUAUCGCUUGCUCACGCCAUCACUAAUAUUCCCUUGUAACUAGAUGUACGCCACAAGUUGUUGCCGGAAUGUUUUAUAUAUUUGAAUGAGAUUUGGUUGUAUGAGAACUAAAACUAAAAACAUUCCGGCAACAACGUACCUCGGCAUGGCUAACUUCCCGAUGAGAUUUGGUUAGCUAUAUUAUAUUUGGAUAUGAGAACUGAAACUAAAAACACAUAUGAUUUAUUGUGUUUGAUUAUUGUAUAUUUGUGAAAUAUUUAUCAAAUAUAAUUAGCCAAGUAAAAAGGAAAUUAUGUUGCAUAUUUGCAUGCUGAGCUACGAAAGUGCCUUUCUACACCCACGAGCAAAUGCUUUUGGUGUGAACAAUAAAAUAAAAAAAUAGAACUUAUUUAAAAGAAUCUGAUUUUUUGUGACAUUAACAAAUGUUUGUCGUGCACGCAAAAAUCCAGCGCGAAAUCACAUUGGUGGAAGUCGUGCAAAAAAAAAAAAAAUCGAAACUCCAAAAUGCUUUUGUAAGUAACAUUUUCGAAGCAUCGAUUUUGUUUCUUUACCACGCCUUCCACCAAUGUGAUUUUGUGUUGAAAUUUUGCAUGCACAACAAACAUUUGUGGAAGUAUGAAACAAAUAAAUUUCAGAUUUUUUGAACUUUUUUUUGAUUUUACUGUUCACACCCGGAGCAUUUGCCCCUGGGUGUAGAGAGCUUUCUUCUAUGCAUGGUUGCAUAUUGAGGUGGGCAUUUUCUUAAGUGACAUGCUUGCAUGUCGAGAGAAAUAUGUUAGUGGAGGCUAGUUAUUUAAACUAGAGGGGUUGGGCGCGCUUUGCUGUGUCGUUGGGGUAAAAAAAAACUACUCCAUCUGUUUCAAAAUAUAAGGUGUAUUAGUUUUCUGAAAAGUUAAACCUUUUAAAGUUGAUCAAAUUUGUAGAGAAAUAUACAAAUAUCCAUAAUAUCAAGUCGAUAUCAUUGGAUUAAGCAUGAAACGAAUUUUCAUAUUGUUUUCUCUCGACAUCCAACACCUCAAGUUCUUGCUCCUUUGUUUUCAGGAGAUGUCGGGGCUUACAAUAAACUUCGCAAAGAGCGAGGUAAUGGUGCUUGGCUACUCCACGGAGGAGGCGAACAGUAUAGCUAACCGCCUUAAUUGUCGCUUGGGAUCCUUCCCGACGACCUACCUCGGCAUGCCAAUUAGUGAUGCCCGCCUUUAGGAAAAAGACCUAUGCCCUACGACCGCCAAGCUCCAAUUCCGGGUAGAACCGUGGCAAGGGCGGUGGCUCUCCAAGACAGCUCGGGUGGUUCUCAUGAACUCAUCCCUUAUUAGCCUUCUCAUGUAUAUUAUGAGAUUCUAUAGUCUUCAUGAAUCCCUCCACCAGGAGAUUGCCAAGUACCUCUCCCGGUUUUUCUGGGCGGAAGAAAAUAAUAAGCAGAAAUACCACAUGGUUAAGUGGUCUGAGAUCUGCAAACCCAAGGACCAUGGUGGCCUUGGGGUGAUCUCCUCAGAAGCGUAUGAAUAUCACUCUCCUUGCCAAGUGGUUGUGGCGCAUUGACCGGUGCCGGUGGGCUGAGGUUAGAUAUUAUCCGCGCAAAGUAUCUGCGCGGACAACCCCUUGCCUUUGCCCCCUGGGUUGGGGGUCCCAGUUUUGGCAGUCAAUUAUUCAAUUGCUGCCGGUUCUCCGGAUCGGCACGUCGAUUGCUGUGGGCUCGGGUUCUAACACAUUAUUCUGGCUAGAUAGAUGGUCGGGAACUAGACCGUUCGCGAAAAGGUUAUAUGCCUUAUUCUCGAUUUGCUCCCACCCACAGAUUUCGGUGGGAGCCGCCCUGCAUGAUAUUGGCACCAUCUCCUUUCGUCGCACCUUUGGGGAGCUUGAGCGAGCACAGUGGGACGAACUGUUGGAAUGCGUGGCUCUACACACCCCCUCGCUCGAACCAUACUCUGUAGCCUGGCACCUUGAGUCGAGUGGAACAUUGUCGACUAAGUCCCUAUACCGGGCAAUCUUGCCGUCUCAGGGUCCCAAUGAACUUACGCUUCUUUGGGAAAUCAAGUUGCCGCUUAAUUCGUAUCUCCAUGUGGCAAUGGGUUCGUGGCCGCCUGCCUUCAGGCACGGAGGUCCAGAAGCGGAAUGGUCCGGGUGAUGGCCUCUGCCCCCUCCGUGGCAUCCCAGAAGACUCCAACCACAUCUUCUUUCGAUGCCCGGCGACACGAUUCCUAUGGAGUUGCUUCCGGGACGUCGUGGGUGGGGCAUGGUGCCAUGAUAACCUCCCUGACCUAUUCAGGGAGGUCCUAGAUUUCCCCUCGAUUAGUAGGCCAACCCUUUGGGUCGCAGUGGGCACCCUGGCAUGGACCCUCUGGAACUGUCGUAAUAAACUGUGAUCGAGCACGUCAUUCCUUGUCGUGUCACUGAUGCCAUCUUUAAAAUGUGUGGAUUUCUACAGCUCUGGAGACCGCUUAGCAAGCGACAUGAUCGUGGCUCCAUUGACUCCAUCGUCGCCGGUCUUCGUUCUUCGGCUGCCGCGAUGUCUCCGCCAUCACCACCCCCUCCACCGGAGCCUGACUAGAGUUCUUUCUUUUUGUAGUUGGGGCUUGUUUGGCUGUGCCCCCAGCCGGACCUCAUUUAUUUGCUUCAUGUACUCUGUCCUGUACUCUUAUGUUGUUGGAUGCUUGACGGUUGUGCUUUAUAAUAUAAACCGGGGAAACCCUUUUUCGUACAAAUCAUAUAUUGACGUUUCUUUUUUCUCGGUGGUGAGAGGAUGUGCGGGAUUGAUACCAUCGACCCGGUUAAAAUUGUGAACCAAAUCUAAAAUUGAAUAUUUCAAUCGGAUGGGAGAGCUCCAAAUUUAGGGAGCAUAAUGAAUGAAAAGAAUUGAAUGAGAGGGCUCCUUGAGAGAGAAAAAAACAUCGACUCAGUCAAAAUCGGAUGAUCCAAUUUCAAAUUGGAGACCUCAAUUGACUUUUAGAAUUCACAAAUUAGGGAGAAUAAGGAAUUAAAUAAGAGAUCUCCUUCACAAUUAGCCACCACCUUGCCAUUAUUAUCUGGAGUUCAGCAAAGGCAAACUGAACAUUACAGAAAACCUUGCCGCUGAAGAAAAUGAUGGCAUCCGAACUAGUCAUCUGGAAUCAGAUUUACAAUAUCAUCAAGAAACAAUUGUCUUAAUACAAAGAAAAAACAAUAUUGUCAAGACCAACAUGAGGGGUCAACUGUAACUUAGUUAAGAAAGAAGAUCAUGUGUCAAACCAUUGACACCCGCAUACAACUCAUGAGAGAGUGUUCUUUCCCGAUCAGCUAUGCAGUUACAGGCCAACUUGCACCUUGCAGCCCCGUAAUCGUUGCCUCUGGUCUUGCCGGUCACUAUGAAUAUCGCUUUUACAACAAAUACCAGAACACCAGUGUAAACGAUUGGCCAUUGUCUCGAGACAAAAGUAUAUUCGCAAGACAAAAGAAGCGACUUUUCAUAUCUUAUUCAAGAAGCUACUUUACUAUCACGUCAUGCAAGGAGAUACCAGCAGACCUUACACAUAUCCUAAGAUAGUUUACAAUGUAUUUGGCUAAAUUCUUCAGAGAUGUUGUUUGUAGUAGUCUCAUGUGUGUUUACACAAAGGCUUAAAUUUCGUUUGGCAGAAGAAAAAACUGACAAUGCAUAUGACUUUGUUAGUAGCACUUAAUUUACAACACUAUGUUGAAAUCAAGCAAGGGCACAUCAACAGCUGCGUACAUUUUAUUUUCCGGGGAUGUGUUGUGAAUAUGUGAUGCAAACUUUGACAACCAAACUGGUUUGGCAAGUAUGAAAACAACUUUCGUUUAUCAAUUUGUUAUUUUUAGGAGGAUAUCAUCUAUAAGAGGCCGAAGUAAGACCAAACAUACCUUCAGGUCAUUUCCUCGAUAUCCAUAAUUCAUAUUGCAAUGGCAAGUGACUCUAGAUAAGAGUCUUCAGCCAUUCUUCCAAAAUUACUUCAAAAAAAUUCUCUCUAUUUGAUGCAUCACGUAAGUUUAUCAUCGGCCUACAAUAGUGACAAUAAUUACCAAUCAAAUGGUUAGCAACCAAUAGGCAACAAUUCGGUGAUCCCAACCCAAUGCAUGAGAGAUGAGAUUACAGUUACUACCUGUGGGUGAACCGCCUAAUGAAAGCACUUAUCUAGGUCAACCCCAGUCAACUUGUGGUACUACUACAUACUUAUCAAUUCAAGCAUGAUGACAUGCACUGCAUAUUUCUCUAUAGUGCUAAUCCCAUCAAUUCAAGCAUGCGAACAAAUUACUUUCAAUCUCUAUAUCCUAGCUCUUUUUCCUCUUGAACUACCCCUCUAUCAGCAAGAUGCUCUUUGCUUCCCCGAACAUAAAUGUUCACUUCAGUUUUCUGCAAGUUGUGGUAGUCUAUUUCACCAUGAAUCAGUUCUGACAUUGAAGUAAAUGGAAAGAAAGUGCCCAUUUCAGGAGGCAUGGUUGGUCCUCGGUUAAAGGUAUGAACAGAACAACCAAAGCCUGCAAUCUUCUAAAGAUAUACAGAAGCACAAAUUAGCAUACACAAAAUCUGUUGUCUUGCUUGUCCAUUUAGAAUAGUACAUUUGUGCUAGAAGCGCCAUUGUCUGUUGAUGUCACUGCUUUGAGAAACCAAGAAACUAAUGAUAAUUAAACAUCACACGUACAUGAAUUUCCAAUCAUCGGCUUGCACAGAACGAGGGGUAAUAUAAGAUAUCAGUUACAGGAAGCAAUUACAUAUCAAAUUAGAUCCUGAACAGUUUUGAAACUGAAACCAGUACCAGCACACCACCUUCGCCUCUAAUAAAAUGAUAGUAUUGCUUGAUAUCACCUAACGAACUUUGUUCAAAAUCAUAUCAUCCCAUAUAUAUCUAGUCAAGAUGGUACUGUAAACAAAUUUCUCCCAGGCAUCUAAAUGAUGAGGUCUCCACCUGUAGCAUUCGGAUCAAAACAUUUGCAGGGAAUGGAUGAACACCAGCACCAAUCCAUACAAAUUCUUUGUAGAAAAUAAUGGACAAAACGUCCAGCGUGCGGCGGCCGCGCGGUGGAGAUCUGUGGUCUGGAUCCCGGGGCGGCAGCCCCGGACGGUGGUGGGUGACGACGGCUGCGGUGUUUGUGCGGGUGAAGCAGUGGCCGUGGUGUGCCGGUGGACCAGCCGGUCUUCGAUCGUGUGGUGCGGCUGCGGGUGAAAACCAUGCAUGUCUACGGACGGGGCGGCGAUGACAGCGUCCAGGGGCGUCGUGACCCUAUCGAGGGCGUCGUCGCUGCAGCUUGUCUCCCUGUCCGAGUUCCGGCUGUGGGGACUCGUGGCUGAUGGUGUUGCGGGGCGGCGGCCCCGGGUUUUGAUGGUGGCGGCUUCGGCCAGGGGCGGUGCGUGCCUCGGCGUGGUGGAUCGAGGGAUCCCGCGGCCAGAUUGGAGUCAGCUUCGGCAGGGGUAUGGUGGUCGGUGGUGGUAGGUGGUCGGCGCACCUCCGAGAGAAAUCCUUGUUCCGGUCUGCAUCGGAGCCGGCGACGGCGGCGCCCGCGAGUGCCGCGCUCUUUCUUGGAAGCGUCGUCGUGGAGGUGUGCUCCUCCUCUCCACGGCUUGGGCUCCGGAGGGAAACUGCAGAUCUGCUGGAUCGGGCGACGAAGGCGUCUUUGUGUCUUUCUCCUCCUUGGGGGCAUCGUCUAGGAGCCGGCUACGGCUAGGAGACCGGUGGAUGGCGGCAUUUUCGCCGCGUGGUUUGCUGAGGUGGGGCUAUGGUUUCUGUUUUGGCAAUGAUGAUGGCGUCGAGAGGAGCUCGGGUCGCGGCGUGGACUUCGGUAGUCGGUUCUUCCCGGCGUGUCCGAGGUGCUCUUCUGUGGGUUGCCUGAUUGCUUUGAAGUCGGAGCUGCGGUGGAGUGGGUCCAGGUGGUGACGAUGACAUGCACCCGGUGUUCUUUUGCGGAGGGCAUGGUCGGCACGAGUCCUGCAUAUCUCCCUUACGAUCGUGUCGUCGAAGUUGGAGCUGUCGUUUGCUGGCGCGUGUGGCCAUCUGUUGGUAUGUGCUGUCAUGGUUGUUUCAUGUCGGUGGCCAGGUUGGCCGGUGGUAACCAUGUCAUGUGGGUUGGAUUGUAUCGGUUUUAGCCCGGUUUUUCGUCAAUUAACCGGAAAAUUCUCUUCUUCUUAAUCAAUGAAAAUGACAAGUCUUUUGCCUCGUUAAAAAAAAAACAAUCUUGAAGAAAGUUGUCUUUCACCCGGAUCAAAGAAAUACCACAAAUCCUUUGACCAAAAAAAUAACCCUGGUGGAGGAGGUCAUGGAGUGUUCGGCGGAUGAAGUAGUACAUCCAUCUUCUCUUUUCGCCAACUUUGAUUGAAGGCUGGCAGAGGCACCAUUUCUAGUGCCGCUCACCUCUAAACCGCGAUGUGUCGCACGAUAGGAUUGCAUGACCCAGCGUCUUGUAGUUCUUUCCCUGGCGGAGCAGCGACAACUCAAUGUUGGCCAUCUUCGCCUUGUACACCCCGCAACAAGGUCACCGUCUCCACUACCUGCCCCAGGUGUUCCCAACCUGAAACAAACACACAACUUCCCUACAAAUUCUCCAUCUUCAUCUCCCACAUAAAGGCCACCACUAAGAGCGAGGUGAUGGUACUAGGUUAUUCCGCGGAGGACUCCGUCCGCAUAGCCAACCGGCUUAACUGUUGAUUAGGAUCAUUCCCGAGUACCUAUCUCGGCUUGCCGAUUAGUGACUCUCGGCUCCAGGAGAAAGAUCUCCGUCCAACGGUGGCUAAGGUUUAGUACCGUGUCAAGCCGUGGCAGGGGUGUUGGCUCUCCAAAGCAGCGCGGGUAGUUUUGAUGAACUACUCAUUAGUUAGCCUAUUGAUGUACAUGAUGGGAUUCUAUAGCCUGCAUGAAUCCCUUCAUCAGGAAAUUGCCAAAUACUUGUCCAGAUUCUUCUGGGCAGGUCAGGGCAAUAGGCAGAAAUACCACAUGGUGAAAUGGUCCGAGAUAUGCAAAAACCAAAGGACCAAGGCGACCUAGGGUCAUUUCAUCCAAACGGAUGAACAUCGCCUUGUUGUCCAAAUGGUUAUGGCGCAUUGAGGUUGGUGAAGGCGGGCUGUUGCUUCAGAUUAUCCGCGCAAAAUACUUGCGUGGAAAACCCCUAGCUUUUGCACCCAGAACGGGUGGAUCCUAGUUCUGGCAAUCUAUCAUUCAGCUGAUGCCGGUUCUUCGGAUAGGAUCUUCGAUCGUAGUGGAGACAGGUACCAACACUCUUUUCUGGCUAGAUCGGUGGUCGGGCGAUAGACCGUUCACCAAACGGUUCUAUGCACUAUUUAGUAUUUCCGCUCACCCACAACUUACGGUGAGUGCGGCCCUAACGGACCUGGGGUGCAUCGCCUUCCGCUGCACCUUUGGCCCGCUUGAGCGGGACCAGUGGGAGGAGCUGCUUCAAUGCAUAGCCCUCCAUUCUCCCUCCCUUGAGGAGGAUGCGAUUUCCUGGUCACUUGAACCAGGUGGGAGGUUUUCCACCAAAUCCCUAUAUCACGCACUUGUGGCCACCCUGGGCCCGACCAAGCUGAUUCUUCUAUGGGAGAUUAAGCUGCCACUGAAGAUUCGCAUCCUCCUCUGGCAAUGGGUGCAUCGCCGCCUUACUUUGGGUACUGAGGUCCUUAAAAGUAACAGCCCCGGGGGCGGGCUAUGCCCAUUAUGCGGAGUGCCGGAAGACUCUAACCAUAUAUUCUUCCGCUAUCCGACGGCGAUCUUCCUUUGGAGUUUCCUCCGGGAUACUGUUGGUGGCAACUAGUGCCACGACAAUCUUCCUGACUUGUUCCAAGAGAACCUAACUCUGGAUUGCAGGAUGCGCCCCGCCCUUUGGGUAGUGAUGGGCUCACUUGCCUAGACAUUAUGGAAUGUGCGCAAUAAACUAGUGAUUGAGCAUGUGAUUCCUUCUUGUGCGACUGACGCGAUAUAUAAAAUGUGUGGUUUCUUACAGCUCUGGAGACCGCUUAGCAAGCGCUACGACUAGGACAACAUCGACAUGAUCAUUGCGGGACAUUGCUCCACUGCCGGAUCCAUUGCGCCACCGCCCCUCCCCCCCCACCGCCAGAGCCGGAUUAGCUAGUUCGUUGCUUCUUUUAUAGGGGUUUGUUGUGUUGUGCCCCAACUGAACCUAUUUGCACUCUUCGACUUUGCUUUUGCUUUUGUUUCUGCUUGAACCUUGAACUUGAUGUUGUGGUCGGAUGUUGUUGGUGCGGUUGCUUUAUGAUCUAAAGCGGGGGGAAACCCUUUUCCAUCAAAGACCACCGCGAACUUGUGAUCUUCUUCCUCUUGAAUCACCGCCAGAUGUGCGAGAUUUGUGGAGGAGAGAUGAUGAAAAAAGCGGCAGCGACAGUAGCCAGCGUCACGAGAAUGGAGAGCAUCGGGAUCCGAGGGAGACAUGGGAGCGGGGGCGGUGGCCGACUAUGCAGGUCGAGCUCUGGUGCGGUGGCGCUUUCCUUCGGCUGGGAACCCUAAUGAACAAAGAUAAAUUGUUAGGUGUCCAGCACGAGAGAUGGGCCGAGCGAGGGAGGGGCCACCACACAAUCAGUUGUCCGGCUCUGUCAGCCUUACAAUUGGAAGUAUUUUUUUGACAAAUCUGGCCCCUUUGAGCAACUUCAGGCAUGCCUGGCCUCCAAGCAAAACUAUUUCGAAAUCUGGCCCCCGUGGUCGGCGCCGCACAACAUGGCGCCGAACAUGUACCCAUCAACGCCAAACUAAGUGGCGCUGGCGCCGAGGUGUACAUGUUCGGCGCCGUAUUUUCCGGAUGACGAACUUACAUAUAUCGAUUCCAGUACGAAAUGUGGUUGCCUUUCCGUUUGUGGUUUAUUUGUUGUGUGGUGAGAUGUUGAAGAGAUUGAGAUUGGAACAUGUUUUCCGGAUGAUGUUGGAUGAGCUGGAAAGUUGCUUUUACCGCCAACACUUUUUAUCGUGUAGUAUGGAUGUCCUCAGCAUGUAACGUCUUUUGCACUAGUCAUGAGUCACCAUGAUGCAUAUCAUGUAUCGACUUAUCCAUAAUAAUAAUAAUUCCUUGAAAAGUGUCACGUAUGAUAAUCUUGUUUGUACUUUGUACAUUUCACAAUGAAUUUUGAAGGUUUUCUAAUCGGAUACAGGAACAAUGCAAGGGGGAAUCAAUCAGCUUUAGUUGUACUUUUCCUCUCGAGUUUGGUUUUGAGUGGUAUUUCUGGAGGAAUUGACAGACACUGGGUAUCGAAGUCACAACGACCACUACGACCCUCUGGAUUAUCUUCUCCAAACGAAAAACUUAACUGACAAGACGAGAAGAUAUGAUAUGUCGAUACUACUCCGGUCCACUUCGGUGAGGUGCCGCUACGUCGUCCGACCACUGCCUUAUUCAACUUCGGUUGGAUGGGAGCCCUCGCCGACGGCUUCCCGCAACGGGCGAGGGAAUAUUUAGGCACGAGGUCAUGUGGGAAUCUCACAAAUCACAAUGGGUUUACUUCCGUGCUUGGAAAGGAGAACCAGGAGCUACCACGUUGCCGGAUAUACAAUACAAGUUGCUAUGAGUGUUGUUUUUUCACUAUUUGUGGCGAGAAUGUGUUGUUUCAGCGUUAGGAGCAACCGGAUCGCCCGAUCGGCCGCCUUGCCAGCCGAGCGAUAACCUCACCGCUGCAUUGUCCCGUUCGCCCCUCCUACCAUGCACAUGGCGAGACAAAAAAAAAACUACAUCUCGCUUGGCAGCAUGAAAAAACUUGCCAAGCAUGCAAUUGUUGCCCGCCGACAUGCAACACUGGUGGUGAGUUCGACCUAUCGCUACCACCGCCCACAACACCGCCGAGGCGAACAUGCAACAUUAUUGUUGCCGCUCCGGGAAUCUUUGACCCGGACAUGGAGCAUUGUCGGGAAACCUUGUAGCACGGUCGGCUUCGGCUCUAGCAUCGUUGUGUGACCUUGCAGCUCACGAUUCCUAGCUUCCAUCGUCGGCGACCGCCACCUACAACAUCAUGCGUCACCGGCCCGCUUUGCAGAAAUAGUGGAUGACUAACAGCAAGGCGUAUCCCGCUUGCAGCAGGUUUUGCACGACCGGUCCUUGUGGUGACCCCGACAAGUAGGAGGAGAGUGCACCAGACGAGCGGCGUGGGAAGACCAUGGAGUUGGGCGCACACGUGGAGGCCAGGAGCUGCCCUGCAAUGGAGAGAGAAGGGAAUGGCCUGGACGCCUGGUGGAUCUUGGGAUUUCGGGGCCCCGUGAAACUAGACCGAGGCCCCAUAAUAUAAACAUCAAAGUGAUAAUUAGUAUGUGUAUAUAAGAGAUGUAACUAAUAAACCCUUAGAAUAUGUACUCACUUCAUUUUGUUUGUCCAUAUUUUGGAAAAGUGAAACAAAUCCUGUCAUUUUACGAAAUUUGACCUAAGAUUUUAUCCAAUUUAUUUACUAGAUUAAAUGUAUUUGCAUUAAAAAUGCUAUCAAGACAGGCGACCGGGAUUCAAAGAAAUAUUUAAUCAUAUAUAAUGUAUACUCCCUCUGUUCUAAAAUAAUUGAAGUUAUGGGUUUGUCCUAAGUCAAACUUCAUUAAGUUUGACCAAGUUUAUAUAAAAAUAUAUUAACAUCUACGAUACCAAAUUUGCUUCAUUAGAUUCAAAUAUAUUGACAUUGUGGAUAUUAGAAUUCUUUCUAUAGCUUGGUCCAAUUUGAAGAGGUCUGACUUAGGACAAUUCUGGAACUUCAAUUAUUUUGCAACAGAAGGAGUACAUCACACCGUAGGGCAUACAUCGUCCAUGCCUGCGUAUACACCAUGUCUAACUAUUUGUCUUCACUGUUAGCAGGAAAGCAAGAGGAAGACUCAACAUUCUAUUGUGAUUGCACAUUGUAAGAAUCAUAUCACAUUUAUCACAACUCAUCACUACCAUUAUGUGUUCCCAACAUGUGUAGCUGGUAAAACAAUUGCGCAGAAAACCCACAAGACGCCGAUACAAAUCUAAAAAGGGAUAGAGUAGUGUGCCAUCUAGUGAAGCGACGAUUUGGUGCUCGGGCUCAGCUGAGCCGCUCGUCCGUUUCAUGCUCGGGAUGUGAACAAAUCCAGCUGGUGUGUCAGACUUGAGCGGUGGUAAAUCAGGGGUACAGGGGAAUACGGUAUGAAACAGUGGCGAAGUCGUGGGCCCGAAGCGGAGCGGCAGGACGGACUGCACCGCUCGUCGCACUGGGCCGUGGACCAGGACGUCACCUUUUUUGUCUGGGCCACGGAUCAGAUAAUGGGUCUAGGUCGGGGUCGCCGCCUGAGCCGUCUGUCGGUCAGCGUGUGUCCAAAAGAAAAUAGUAUUUCACCCUUUUGCAUCACCUCGUUUGUUCUAGAAACCCUCGCCGGCGCCGCCCAGUCAUGCUGCGCCGCUCCACUCGUGCUUCGUCGCCGGCAACUGGUGGGAUGGACACUGCGGGCAUGGAGUUUUUGCUUGACGCGGUUGACAGGUUAGUCCCCAGCAGAUCUAUGCCUUAUUGCUUUAUGGAUUUCUUGCCCAUAAGCUCCAUCAGCCGAUAGAAGUCCCCCCUGACGAUCUAUCAUUUUCUUGCGGCGAUGGUUGCUGAUUUUCUCAGGUUCCCAAGAGAGGAAUUCGCUGACAGCCUUGAACAGCCGGAUCCGGUUUCGCUGCAUUACCUGAUAGGAAACAGGGCAGUGAAUGCAGAAACAGGUGAUUCUGAUGGUGGGUCUGGCAUGGCUCAAAAGGAUGGCGAGGAUGGGGCGGCUGUACCACGAGAAGGCGCCCGUUGGCGACAUGCUGCUUCACCGACGAGGUCAGCUUAGCCCACUGACAGAGUAAAUCCAGAGGCCCUGGGUUGACCAAAAGGUAGGAGGAAUAAAUGCAGUUUUUUUGGUAAUUAUAGCUGCAUUCCGUUGUGAAUUCUUGUGUGUAUCACGUACCUUGCAUUUUAAGAUCAAGGGUUGUUGAUGAUUUUUUGUUUAGCUGGUGAAAUGCGUUGGCAGAUACAAGAAUUUCAGUCUGAUUCACUUUCAGAAACCCAGUUCAGUUAUGUUGAACAUCUAACUAUGUAGAGCACCAGUACUUGUGGAAAAGUAUGAUUAUUCAUCGAGCAACUAUCACAUCUGACAAAGUAAAAUUGUCUUUCAUUUGCAUAUCAAUGCAGAGCUAUGGAAGUGGCGAUCAGCAAGACCUACCCUGGCACCAUGCACCGAUGGUGCAAGUGUCAUGUCCUGAAGAAAGCAAAAGAAACAUUGGGUCCACUGUACACGAAGAAGAGUGAUUUUCAGGCUGAAUUUCACAAGGUUGUGAACCACAUAUGUUAACUGAGGACGAGUAUGAAGCAGGUUGGGGAUUGUUGUUGGAUAAAUACAAUCUGGGGUCUCACACCUACAUGACCCAAAAUAUAUGAAACCAGGAGGAAAUGGGCAAAACCAUACUUCAGAGGUGUGUUUUGCGCGAAAAUGACAAGCACCCAGCGAAGUGAGAGCUCAAACCACGUGUUGAAAUCGUAUAUGCCCCCCUGCAAGCCCAAUGCAUGUUUUCAUUAGGCAAAACAUGAGGUUACAGUUUGACCGCGAGCGGGACGAAAGUUAUGAGGAGAAGAGGACCAUGAUUGUAAGUAAUUUUUCCCCCUUCAAAAAUCAGGCCUGGUUUGUUUUAUCGGAUAUAUUCGUUGCCCAUGUCUUUGCCGUGUGUUUUCGAACAUAUAUGUUGCACUUAAAAGUGACCAAAAAGCUGCAACUCGUAUGCUGAUUCAUCUGUACAAAAACCUUGGCAGGGCGGUGCUGUUAGGCGCACCAACCUUGCGAUAGAGCGGCACGCAAGCAAAAUUUACACUAGGAAUAUGUUUGAGGAAUUUGGUCGCGUCCUAAUUGAAGGGACCGCCUACAACGUUACUGGAUUGGAGAAGAUGAAGAAAUGCAAAACGACCCACAAUAAUGCAGCCAAACGAGAGAAGUGAAGCAGGGUUGAGUAUGAGGUGAGCAUAAACGAAGACAAAUCAAUAUUUACAUGUGAGUGUGGUUAGUUUCAACACACUGGAAUGCUAUGCAACCAUGUUCUGCGGGUGAGCUGCCCUAUAUCGUAAGAAGUCUUCUCUGAUAAAUCAGAAAAUAAAAUGAGAAAAUUUGUGGUACUGAAGACUAAAACUCUCUUUUUUUUCUCUUGAUGAUCACACAAUUGAUGGAGAUUCUACACCUCGAAGAGAUCCCUAAGCACCAUAUCGUGAAACGGUGGACGAGAGAUGCAAGAGAUAUACUACCAGAUCACUAGGUCCAGUACCAGUGAGAUAAUUCAGUAAACCUAUCGUUCACGUGUAGGCAUGCAACGAUGUACCUGAAGGCCAUGGAAGUCGUGCGGAUGGGGGAUGCAAGUGCUACAUGUUAUGACCAUGUGAAUGCAGGUCUCGGCGCUCUGUUGCUGAGUGGAGCCCCGUUGGCGGAGAAAAGGGAUGGUUUGGCAUUUGAGGACCGGUUGGUUGAAACAACGGGUGCAAGGCUACAUCGCACCAUGACAUUGCAAAUGUGGAAGGAGGAGAUGGACAAUGCACGGUGCUGAGCAUUCUGCUAGUGUGAAUGGGUUGCAUGGUCUUGCAGCCCUGGACAAGCGUAGAGGUGCUGGAAGGCCGACAAACAGCAGAGAGAGAGCCCCAUAUGAAGGGUUAAGUAAACGAACCAGAUUCUGCAUCAUUUGUCGACGAGAAGGUCACAAAAGGACCACAUGCCCGGAAAGAGGGGAUGCACCAAAGAAGCCACGGAAGCCAGGGAAAUGCAAGAACUGCAGAAUAGAAGGGCAUCGGCGGAAUACCUGCAAAAGCCCAAUUGGUUUUGCUGGGAACUGAGCUAUAAAAAUUUCAGUUCGGCCUAAAUGUUCUUAACCAGGGGAUUUUCCAGUGUGUUUCAAAUGGGCAUUGCUCCACUCUGUAUUCCUUCAGUCUAGAUGGUCGUGUGUCCUGCUGUAUCUAAGAGCAUGAACUCAGUGUGUGUAUGUUUGAACUGCGAUGAACCAUGUAUGGUUUUCGUAUGAAUUCUGAUGAACUAAUUUACUUGCAGACAUAUUGUGUUCCUCCCUAGGAAAAAAAUUCAGCAAACAACAAGAAAAAUGGGACAUAUGCCCAGUCUGGCUUUUUAUUCGUCUUUCGUCUGAAAUGGUAUGUGAUUUGCUUCCUGAACUGAAGAUGUGCUGGGUUGACACAUGGGCACCAUGCAUGAUCACGGCGGAGUAGGUCUUGAGCGGGCACUCUCUUCUUCAAAAUUCAGAAAACUGAUGGGCAGAUUAAAUGCGUACGGGGUCCUGGGGUAGCCUCGGAUGCAGUAUAAAACAGGGAUUGCCUCAGUUCAGCAAUUGCCAAUAGUUCAAACAUAAUUGAAAGCUAGCGGCUGCAUCAGAUGGGGCGCUCGUUUGUUCAAUCAAUGGCAAGUGGCUCAACCUGAACGUCCGGUGGGCGUGACACUUUUGGCGUCUCGAAAGAUCAAGUGAUCAUGGAUUUCCCCCCUUCUUAACCAAUCCAUCUAUAGUGAUUCUCUAGAGGAGAUGAAGCGCUGUGUUGUUUGCUGAUGGAAUCUGCUCCUCGCAGACAUCGUCAUCCACGGGCAUGGAUUCAACAUCAAGCGCGUGGAGUACAACGCAGCUGCCGGAGAUGGAGUUGGGAAUGGAUCAACAUGAAGAGGGGAUUUUUGAUUUCGGAUGGGGAAUGGGUGUGGUGGACGGAUGGGGAGUAUGGGUUGGCAUUUAUGGCCAGUGCUCUGUGCUCUGGCCACUGUCUGGACAGACGCUUCACACGGCUCAUGAACACUCAGAACUAUUGCCGAGCCAUCUCUAGUCCUUCUGUCCCUCAACGGCAGCGAGACGCGUCGUCGCAUUGAAUGCAUCUCAACAACAGUCGCAAAAACGACAUAUACAGAAUGGAAAUACCCUGUGAUGCACACAUCCACAUGUGAACCAUCGGUCUGGAUUUUGGGAUCAGCUGAGCUCGAGCUCAGAAGAGGAUUUUCGGCCAUCUAGGCACAACUAAGUAAUAGUUGAAGGGAAACACCCAUAGUUCUCUAGCACGGUCAGCCCAGUUUCCCCGAGUUCCCACGGCGACAUAUGGAAAUCAAAGCAGUAGAGCCAAAAAUCUGAAUACAACUGACAUCUAAUUUGAUUAAAAACUAUGAUCAGUGCUUGAGAACAAUGAGAAGAAAGGAUGAACGAAAUGAGUCAGGGAGCAUGGGAUUCACGCGAAAGCGAAUAUGCAACAAUACACGGUGUUCAUCCCGACUAGGUCAUGAGGUGAUGUUUGCCAAGGGCACUAGGCUAGGGAACAUGGUGCGUGACGAAUCGCUCCAUCCUUUCACGUGUCUGCACUGCUAGUACUACUUGGGUCACGCACAGCUUGAGGCCCUCUUCAUCACUAAUACAUAAGGAGGAGCAUCAUGGGGACCCUUUUAGAGCAUCUCCAAUAAAAGAUGCAAAUUUGAAGAUGUAAAAUAGGAUAUGUAAAAAUUUACAUCUACAAAAAGUGUUUUUACAUCUUCGAAAAGAGGCAAUUGCAACAGAUGACACAUAUUGGAGAUAUAAAACCGCAACUCCAAUAGAUGAUGCAAAAUGGAGAUGUAAAAACUAGUCGGCGGCAGUAGAAUCGGGGCGGCGAAAGUGGGAACGGCGGCGGCGUGGCGUGAUUCGGGGCGGCGGCUGUGCGUGGGGGCAGCGGGGGAGCGUCGAAGGGGUAGUGGGGGUAGUGAAUCAGGACAGCGGCGGCACGAAUCGGGGUGGCGGAGCAGCGGCGGUGCAACAACAGUGGGGCGGCCAUUCGAGGUGGAGAGAGAGGAGGAGCGGCGUAGGGGUGGCGAAGGAGCGUCGAAGGGGCGGCGGGUGUGCGACUAGCUAGAACCCAGCAACGACGGGGCGGCGUGGGAAGCUCAAAUUAUACGACAACGCGGCAGCGAUUCGGCGAUGGAGAAGCAACCAAUUUGGCUGAUUUGGAGGCGGGUGAAGGCGGAGCAACGGCAUAAGCGGAGGCAAGGGCGAUGGAGCGGCCAGAUUUGGCAGUGGGGAGGCAGCCGUGACGGCGACCGACUGGAGUGGGGCAAAACCAGGGCGACGACAUGGAGGCGGAGGCGGGACUGGGGGCGGUGUUCACGCCGACGAAGGCUCCGACGGGGUGGGCGGCUGCGGCGGAGGAGGUGGUGGGGUCGUCGCAGUCGGCCAUGGCCUGGGCGACAGUCGGCGGGUGGGCUACUGGCGUGCAAACGGAAGAAAAAUAAAAGCAGCUAGGCAGUUGGUGUGCGACCGUCGUUUUUUUACAUCUAUAGGUGGAGAUGUAUAUUUUCAUCGUGAAGUGUUGUAUUUUACAUCUCUGGAAGGCGGAGAUGUAAUUUUUUUUGCAUCCACAUCAUCAGUUGAAGAGGGGUUUUUGGCUUCAGAGAUGCAAAAGUUAGUUAUUAGAUGCUAAGGGCAUCCACAUCGUGGUCUUUUUUCGCCUAUAAACCUGCAGAUAUUGGAGGCAAAUAUGUGGGACCCAUGUUAGAGGCAAUGCCGCCUCUACACACUGCUGAUGCCCUUUGUUUUGCAUUGGGGGGGUGUCGGUGUCAAAACCGGUAGAUCUCGGGCAGGGGGUCCCGAGUCGUGGAUCUUGCAUCAAUGGGGAACAAGAGACGAGUGACACGAUGUUUAACCAGGUUUGGUCCCUCUCUAAGAGGUAAAACCAUACGUCCAGGAUGGUUACAGAGUUGAUCUACCUCGAGAUCAAAUGAACUAAGCCUAGGUUAGUAAGGCAAUGAUUAUUGUUCUAGCCUCUAUGGACCUAAACCACAUGGUUUAUAUAGGCACCAGGGGUACUAGGGUUACACAUGGUCGGUUACAACAAAGGAAAUAACACAUCGAAUCUUCCAUCUUGACUUGGAGGAUAUACCAAGCCUCCGAGAUCUUCCUGUCCGGCCACAUGGUCAUCUGGUAGUUCGGCCCCACAGUAGUCACCCAACGGCCCACCUAUCCGGCCCAUGAGAAGUAGGCCGACGGCCCGAGGACCCCUUAGUCCAGGACUCUCUCAGUAGCCCCCGAAAUAGCCUCCAGUGACGGGACUUGCGGUCAUCGGCCAUCUCAGAGUCUUCGGCUUGCGAGGCGAGUUCAUCUUCUCCUUUGAUGUUCGGAAUAAUCUCCCUUGGUUAUCCUCGAAGGAGCGUGUUCGGCCAGGUUUGCCCACAUAGUUCGUCAAGUAGUAUCCGGAAUCAGGGUCAUCGGUCUUACUUAGCCAUGAAGGUCAAACGCUCGAGUGUGAACAAUAUUUUUGUCUGACAAAUUUUCGACGAAGGAUCGCGUCCGGUCACAAACAUUGAACCGUUGCGAACCCUCGAAAUACGGUUCGAGGCCGCCUCCAUAGGCGCGUCCUAUCAAGGCGAGGAUCGUGCCCGCUUUUUAAGGGUUAUGAUCAAUGAUUUCAAUCAUCCCACUCGCGCAUAAUGGUACGAGUAUAUCGGGAAGUGGAGAGGUCCACGGCGCAGUAAGAGGACCCUUGGUCAUCCUAGCGGCCUAUAAAAGGGGAACGACCAUUGCCAUCGGCAUACGCCUCCUUCCUCUUGCCCAUGCCCUCCUAAUCUUCAGAGCUCUAGCACCCCGUGCCAUUCUUCCCUAGCUAAUCCUUCCAAGCCAACUCCCUACUCCGGCUAUUGCCGGAUCCAGUGACAUCGAGGAUCUAAAGAGUGACGACUACCUCUCGACCGACAUCGCUCAUCGUGCCCCAGAAAAGGGCCAGGCCAUCCCCACGCCUCAGCCAGGCGAAUGGGUGGUGUUCAUCUCCCACUUCAUCCGGGGACUAGGCUUCCCGCUCCACCCCUUCGUCAGGGGGCUAGAAGGUUCAUAUAAUUUGUUACAACUGAAGGAAUAAAACUAGGCUGGAAGUAGAUGCCAAACAACAUGGCAUGACAAAGGCUGGUCCGACACCUUGACUUGCAUAGUCAUUGUGGUUCUUGCUCCAUUCUACAAAAAACACAUAUCGAACACUAAGUUGAACUAUAAAUGCAAGUAUGCCACUCCAAUUCAAAAUCAUGGUCUUGAUUUUAGUUUCCCCACCCAACCAAUUCAACUUACUCACACUCAUUCUCCUAUGUUCCAAAUCCGAAAUGGUAUCUCAUUAUAAAUCUAGAAAAUCAAAGGACCUAAUAUAUCAAUUUGUACUAAUAAAUCACAUUAGUAAUAAAUCAAUUUCUAGUAAAUAUCAUCUACCUAAUAAAUCAAUGCUAAUGCCAUGCCAAUAUCAUCUACCUAAUAAAAUCAAUUUCACAGUACUAGCUAAUAUAAAAAAUUUAUGGCUAUCAGAUCCGCCACCGGCCGGAGGGAGACACUUGGGGAGGGGAAGAAAAAUCACGAGGGGAGAUCUCACCUCCUUGCUGGAGUUGGCAGCGGCGAAGAGCGGUGUGGUCGGGUGGCGGCGGCGGCGCUGGUCGAGAUGGGGGAGACGAAGAAGGGUGAAAACGAUGAGCUCUUAGUGAUGAAUCGGACUUGCUGGUUUUUACUGGACAGGGAAUAAUUUUUACUAGCGUGGGCCUAAUGGACAGUGCUAUCGUAGGCCUAAUGGGCCACGCCAUAGAAAAAGAUCGCACACGGGAAAAAACUCAGAAAAUAGCUAUGGCGUCCUAGAAACAUUCUACGUCAGCGGUAUAGUCAUAUCAAUGUCGUACCAAUUUGUCCAACGCCACCACUAUUUGAGAAAAAUAGUGCUGGCGUUGCUGGGACCGUGGCGCCACUAACGUAAGUUUUGGCUAGCACCUUUUCCACUAGUAGAUCCUCUCUUAACAUAAACUUGAGAUAAUUAUGGAGACAUAUUGGAUUGAUGAAAUGAGCCCAAAUUUGGUAAAGAGAAGUUAUAUAGGUAUGAGCAUGCUCUGGUAUAUUUGCAGCAUUUAUGGAGCAAUAUAAAAUAUAGUUGCUUCACAAACUGAAAAUAUUAUCCGAAACAAAGAUUUGUUACUGUGCUCACACAGAUAGUUGGAUGGAGUUGAAAUUCGGUGGAGAGUAAUGAUUUGAGCAUAUGAAGGAGCUUGCAAAAUUUCAAAUCAUUUGGAUUACCUAGCUAGUACUUCCUUCACAAAGGUUCCCUUAGGACAGAAACUUUGGAAAUUUGCUGAGGAAGAUUCACUAGGCAAAUGGAAUUGAAUUAUGUCAUGUGGCAACGAUUUGGAUAUGAAAGAGCGCAUAAAAAGUUUGGGGCAAUCAAGACAAGAUAAAUAGCACUUCCUUCACAAAGUGCCAUUCUGGACAGAACACGAAAAUGAAAGGAAAGGUUUGGACAUAUUUGUGGAAGAUAUGGUCCGCAGAAUUUAUGAGGAUUUUGUCGGAAUUAAUGGCAAGGCAUAAAUAUAGGUUGCUUCAAAACCUAGCUCAAACAAGAUUAUUCCUUUAAUAGAAAAAAGGAAUAUUCUCAAGAAAAAGAAUUUGGGAUUGGGCUAGAAUAGAAAUGACAUGAUCGUGGGAGAGCUUUGAGAAUGAUGGACCACUUGAGAGAAGCAAGAAUGAUGAUCUCCCAAGUUUCAAGUCCAUAGAACUGCUCCAAAAGAAAAAUUAGAGCAAAAACCAAAGAAAUCAAAAAAGGCCAAAAAUCGGGGUGUUACAAGUAUCAUUCCGAGGCAUACGGAUGGCACCAUGCUGGAGACAGAACUGCACAUAAGGUAUUACAGUAUGGUUUUUAUUGGCCUACUCUCUUCAAAGAUGCACGUAAGUUUGUACAUUCUUGUGAUGAAUGUCACAGAAUUGAUAAUAUUGGUAGACGUCACGAAAUGCCUAUGAAUUAUUCACUUGUUAUUGAACCAUUUGAUGUUUGGGGUUUUGAUUAUAUGGGACAUUUUCCUUACUCUAAUGGGUAUAAUCAUAUGUUAGUUGAUGUUGAUUACGUUACUAAGUGGGUAGAAGCUAUUCGAACUAGUAGUGAUGAUCAUAACACUUCUAUUAAAAUGCUUAAAAAAUGACCGAUGGUUGUUCACAUUUUAUUCAUGGUGCUUUCCGUAAACUUCUUGCUAAAUAUGAUGUCAACCAUAGAAUUGCAUCACCUUAUCACCCUCAGUCUAGUGGUCAAGUUGAAUUGAGCAAUAGAGAAAUAAAAUUAAUUUUGCAAAAGCUUGUUAAUAGAUCCAGAAAGAAUUGGUUUAGGAAACUUGGUGAUGCACUUUGGGCUUAUAGAACUGCUUAUAAAAACCCUAUGGGAAUGUCUCCAUAUAAAAUAGUCUAAGGAAUAGCAUGUCAUAUACCUCGCUUAUUGGGCAAUAAAAUGACUUAAUUAUGAUUUCAAACAUGUCGGCAAAAAGAGGUUAUUUGAUAUUAGCUCAUUACAUCAAUGGAGGGGACAAACUUAUGAGAAUGUAAGUUGUUUAAAGAAAAAUAUAAAAGAUGGCAUGACAAAAGAAUCGAAAAACAGGAAUUUAAUGUAGGGGAUCAAGUUCUUUUGUCUUGUUUCAGAUUAUUUGCAGGAAAGCUUCUCUCUAAAUGGGAAGGACCAUAUAUCGUCGAAGAAGUUUAUCGCUCCGUGGCUAUCAAGAUCAACAACGCUGAAGGCACCAAUCCGAGAGUGGUUAAUGGGCAAAGAAUUGAACACUAUAUCUCAGGUGCGCCCAUUAAUGUCAAAACUAAUAUUAUUCAAGUAAUGACACCCGAGGAGCACACAGAAGAGACCUUCCGAAAUGCUCCAGAACCUUGAAAUGGAGUAGGUACGUGGUAAGGUAAGUAAACCGACUCCAAAAAUUCCAUAAACGCACCUUUUGUUCAUUUCGGAAUAUAUGAAAAAUUAGGAAAAUAAUAACCAAUCCGAAAAGUUCACGGGAAAGCGACAAGCCCAGGGGGCGCGCCCUACCCCCUGAGCGCGCCUUCCGAGCCUGUGGCUCCCUCGUGGACUUUCUGGACUCCGUUUUUCUUCCAUGUUACUUGUCAUGCAUGAAAAAAAUUCAUUAUAUAUACUCCUCACUGCUUUGACCACCGCAUCGCAAGUUUCUCAUAUGUUCUCGUUUCGUGCUACUUCUCUGACAGAUCUAGAUUGCCAUAGCUCCCUAAAGGCCCCGUACCAAGCACCGGAUCAUGCAACCUUCACUGGGAAAACUUACUUUCAACGAGGUUUAUUACAAGUGGUCGUCCAGAGAGGAUGACACCCGUUGGGGAACAUUGUAAUUUCAAAAUUUUCCUACGCACACGCAAGAUCAUGGUGUUGCAUAGCAACGAGAUGCGAGAGUGUUGUCUACGUACCCUCGUAGACCGUAAGCAGAAGCGUUAUAUCAACGCGGUUGAUGUAGUCGUACGUCUUCACGAUCCGACCAAUCCAAGUACCGAAAGCACGGCACCUCCGAGUUCUGCACACGUUCAGCUCGAUGACGUCUCCGCCUUCUCGAUCCAGCAAGAGGGGCGAAGUAGUAUAUAUGAGUUCCGGCAGCACGACGGCGUGGUGACGAUGUUGGUGAAGAACAAUCUCCGCAGGGCUUCGCCUAAGCACUACGAAAACUAUGAUGGAGGAUAAACUAGAGGGGACGGGGUUGCCGGCACACGGCUUGGUGUUUCUUGAUGUCUUGGGUGCUAGCCCUACCCCUCUAUUUAUAUGUUGAGCCUUGGGGUCGAAACUUGGAGUAAAAGCCUCCACAAAGUCGGUUUCACCCGAAAGGCAAGAGUCCUUCUCGGACUCCAAGGCCAGACGCCAGGGUUCCCGGCGUCUGGACCCAGACGCCAGGGACCCUGGCGUCUGGCCCGUGGACUCCGCAAAACUUCCUUUUGUGCUUUCCAAAAACCUCGUGGGCUUUCCCCUUUGGCCCAGAUAAAGUGUUCUCGUGCCCAAACAUUUCGGGAAACAUCCAGAGCCCCUUCCGAUGGAUUCCAGAACCUUUCCGGAGAUCAAACACUACUAUCCACAUAUCAAUCUUUACUUCCGGACCAUUCCGGAGUUCCUCGUCAUAUCCGUGAUCUCAUCCAAAACUCCGAACAACAUUCGGUCACCAACAUACAUAACUCAUAGUACUAUAUCGUCAACAAAACAUUAAGCGUGCGGACCCUACGGGUUCGAGAACUAUGUAGACAUGACCGAGACACCUCUCUUGCCAAUAACCAAUAGCGGGACCUGGAUGCCCAUAUUGGCUCCUACAUAUUCUACGAAGAUCUUUAUCGGUCAGACCGCAUAACAACAUACGUUGUUCCCUUUGUCAUCGGUAUGUUACUUGCCCGAGAUUCGAUCGUCGGUAUCUCAAUACCUAGUUCAAUCUCGUUACCGGCAAGUCUCUUUACUCGUUCUGUAAUACAUCAUCCCGCAACUAACUGAUUAGUUGCAAUGCUUGCAAGGCUUAUAGUGAUGUGCAUUACUGAGUGGGCCCAGAGAUACCUCUCCGACAAUCGGAGUGACAAAUCCUAAUCUCGAAAUACGCCAACCCAGCAAGUACCUUCGGAGACACCUGUAGAGCACCUUUAUAAUCACCCAGUUAUGUUGUGACGUUUGGUAGCACACGAAGUGUUCCUCCGGUAAACGGGAGUUGCAUAAUCUCAUAGUCAUAGGAACAUGUAUAAGUCAUGAAGAAAGCAAUAGCAACAUACUAAACGAUCAAGUGCUAAGCUAACGGAAUGGGUCAAGUCAAUCACAUCAUUCUCCUAAUGAUGUGAUCCCGUUAAUCAUAUGACAACUCAUGUCUAUGGCUAGGAAACAUAACCAUCUUUGAUCAACGAGCCAGUCAAGUAGAGGCAUACUAGUGACACUUUGUUUGUCUAUGUAUUCACACAUGUAUUAUGUUUCCGGUUAAUAGAAUUCUAGGAUGAAUAAUAAACAUUUAUCAUGAUAUAAGGAAAUAAAUAAUAACUUUAUUAUUGCCUCUAGGGCAUAUUUCCUUCAGUCUCCCACUUGCACUAGAGUCAAUAACCUAGAUCACAUCGCCAUGUGAUUUAACAUCAAUAGUUCACAUCACCAUGUGAUUAACACCCAUAGUUGACAUCAUCAUGUGACCAACAUCCAAAGGGUUUACUAGAGUCAAUAAUCUAGUUCACAUCGCUAUGUGAUUAACACCCAAAGAGUACUAAGGUGUGAUCAUGUUUUGCUUGUGAGAGAAGUUUAGUCAACGGGUCUGCCAUAUUCAGAUCCGUAUGUAUUUUGCAAAUUUCUAUGUCUACAAUGCUUUGCAUGAAGCUACUUUAGCUAAUUGCUCCCACUUUCAAUAUGUAUCCAGAUUAAGACUUAGAGUCAUCUGGGUCAGUGCCAAAACUUGUAUCGACGUAACCCUUUACGACGAACCUUUUGUCACCUCCAUAAUCGAGAAACAUAUCCUUAUUCCACUAAGGAUAAUUUUGACCGCUGUUCAGCGAUCUACUCCUAGAUCACUAUUGUACUCCCUUGCCAAAAAUCAGUGUAGGGUAUACAAUAGAUCUGGUACACAGCAUGUCAUACUUUAUAGAACCUAUGGCUGAGGCAUAGGGAAUGACUUUCAUUCUCUUUCUAUCUUCUGCCGUGGUCGGGCUUUUGAGUCUUACUCAAUUUCGCAUCUUGUAACACAGGCAAGAACUCUUUCUUUGACUGUUCCAUUUUGAACUAGUUCAAAAUCUUGUCAAGGUAUGUACUCAUUGAAAAAACUUAUCAAGCGUCUUGAUCUAUCUCUAUAGAUCUUGAUACUCAAUAUGUAAGCAGCUUCACCGAGGUCUUUCUUUGAAAAACUCCUUUCAAACACUCCUUUAUGCUUUGCAGAAUAAUUCUACAUUAUUUCUGAUCAACAAUAUGUCAUUCACAUAUACUUAUCAGAAAUGUUGUAGUGCUCCCACUCACUUUCUUGUAAAUACAGGCUGCACCGCAAGUCUGUAUAAAACUAUAUGCUUUGAUCAACUUAUCAAAGCGUAUAUUCCAACUCCGAGAUGCUUGCACUAGUCCAUAGAUGGAUCGCUGGACCUUGCAUAUUUUGUUAGCACCUUUAGGAUUGACAAAACCUUCUGGUUGCAUCAUAUACAACUCUUCUUUAAUAAAUCCAUUAAGGAAUGCAAUUUUGUUUAUCCAUUUGCCAGAUUUCAUAAAAUGCGGCAAUUGCUAACAUGAUUCGGACAGACUUAAGCAUAGAUACGAGUGAGAAACUCUCAUCGUAGUCAACACCUUGAACUUGUCAAAAACCUUUUGCGACAAUUCUAGCUUUGUAUAUAGUAACACUACUAUCAGCGUCCGUCUUCCUCUUGAAGAUCCAUUUAAUCUCGAUGGCUCGCUGAUCAUUGGGCAAGUCAAUCAAAGUCCAUACUUUGUUCUCAUGCAUGGAUCCCAUCUCAGAUUUCAUGGCCUCAAGCCAUUUUGCGGAAUCUGGGCUCAUCAUCGCUUCCUCAUAGUUCGCAGGUUCGUCAUGGUCAAGUAACAUGAUCUCCAGAACAGGAUUACCGUACCACUCUGGUGCGGAUCUUACUCUGGUUGACCUACGAGGUUCGGUAGUAAUUUAAUCUGAAGUUUCAUGAUCAUCAUCAUUAGUGAAAGGGCAUGUAGCCCCUAAGUGUGGUUUUGGUAAUUGAAUGACAAUCUCUAUGGACUAAUGUUUUCAGUGAGAUAUAUUUGAAGGUUUUGUCCAUAGAUGGUGCCUCAAGGAUAUUGGAUGGAUUCAAGGAUGAAGUCCAUAUAUAUGAAGAUAAUGCCUCAAGGAUAUUGGAUGGAAUCAAGGAUGAAGUCCAUAUAGAUGAAGUUAUAUUUGCUCUAAGCUUUGGUAUUAAAUGACAAUUCCUAUGGAGCAUCAAGUGCAUUGGAUAUUAUAUGAAGAUAUGUUCCAUAGUGAUGCUUGAAGUUCUUUGGGUUGUUUUGUGAAGAUUGCCAUCAAAGCAUCCGAAGAAGUCCUCAUGGUAUCCCUCUCUGGAUACCCCAUGACACGGGCUUAUACCGUGCGCACGGGGUCGAGUGUCAACUCUCUGGAUACCCCAUGCUCACGGGGCCUAGGUGUUGGCUCUCGAGAUUCCAUAUCCAGCGAGGUUUCAAGUUGGUCUUCUGAGGAUCAAGGCUUGAGAGAAUAAUCAAAGAGAAGAAUUCGAGUUAUGGUUUCAAGACAAGAUCAUGGUGAGCUCAUGUGUUGGGUUUCGGUUGAUCAAGCCUUGAAGCAAGCAACUAGAGUGAAUAAUUCAUUAUGCCUCUCAAGACAAGAUCAUGUUGAUCAAGUCUUGAAGCAAGCAACUAGAGUGACGAAUUCAUUAUGCCUCUCAAGAGUUUGGGAUGGAGUUUUUAGAAGGGCAAGUGGUGACCAAGAUGAUAUUCAUAGUGGAACUUGAUAUGGUCAUGAAAGAGUCUUUGGUGAUAUUGUCUUGAAGCAAUGAAGUGAAAUGAAGAGUUCAUUGUGGCUUUCAAGAAACCAAGAUGGAGCUUGAAGUAAAGAUGUUGGUUGACCAAGAUGAAGCUCGAAGAGUAUAUCUAAGUGGUCAACUCACAAAGCACAAACAAUGUACCACGUGAGAUCAAGUGAUCUAGUGGUAUGGUAAGUAAUUGUGAAUUGUGCUUUGUUACCUAACCCAUGCUAUAUGUUUGUUAUGUCUAUGUGGGUUAGGUGUUUCUCAUAGGCUUGCAUCAAAAGGAAAGAUCUCGUGUAGCCUAUGUGUGGAUGACAUCAAGUGGUGAUGGUCAUCGGAUUCGAGGAGUCCAGGUGCAAGAUGAGAAGCCGGAGGUUAUAUGCUUUGAAGCUUGCGGUCCACAUCAUGAUAAUGUGCAUGUGAAGAUGGGCUUGAGAUAAGGCUUCCCUCAUUGCAUCAUGAGGAAGCAAUUCGAGUAUCUUCACCAAGUGGUCGUGGACAAGAAAGGGAUUCCAACUUGAGGCAAGCAUUAAAGUCAUCAUCAAGCUCAAGUUGAAUGUGCAAGGCAAAGGUAUACCUUAGCUAGGUUUUCCUAGUUUUGCCGGUCUCAUAGUGCUUGGUGGGAGACCGGAUUAUAGGUUUGAUAGCCGUACUAUCAAGAGGGACUCUCGGGCAAGUAGCUUGAUCACGUCGCAUGUAGAGAGCUCAAACCUUUGCAUUACUUGCAUCAUUCUUUCUUGUUGAUCUUGGGUGGUUCUCUAUGUGAGGACCUUGGGCUUUUCCAUAGCUUCAAAACGAGCCCAAGAUCAUCGAAUUCGGAGUCCGUAUGCCCAAGUUAUCGAUGUUUUAGUGGGCUGCUGCUGGCUGUCCUGGGGACCUCGUGUGCACGGGGUCUUUGACCCCCGUGCGCACGGGGUGUCCAGAAUUCUGCGUACUCCGUGCACACGGGCUCGUACCGUGCACACAGGACCCCGUGCACACGGGGUCUCAACCCCCGUGCACACGGGGUGCCCAGGAAAUGCCCGUUGGAGCCCCAACGGCUAGUUUCUGAGUUUGGCUAUUUAAGGGCCCUUUCCUCCCACCGGUUGGGGGUUGGUUCUUACACUUUCAAAACACCAUUUUGAGCCUCUCUACACCUCUCCCAAAGCCCUUUCUCCCCUCUGUGUGAAGGGGGAUUUGUGGAUGGAUUUGUGAGCCAUUUGUUGAUCAUAUCCAUUGCAUCCCCUCUCCUCAAUCUCCUACUUUCAAAAGUGCAUCUUGUGAGAUUGAGAGAGUGUGUUGAGCAUUUGUUGCUUGGCAUUGCAUUGCAUUUGUUGCAUUGGUUUGAGCUCCCCACAUCGAUUAGUUCGAGUGAGAGUCCGUGAGUUUAUUACUCUUGGAGGUUUCGGCCUCCUAGACGGUUUGGUGAUAUUCAUUGUGAAGAUUGUGAAGAGGCCUAUGUGGCCAAGGUUCCCCCGAAAGCUUCCUCUUGUGGUGUGCUCCGGGGAAGGGUGUUGAAGUGUCCUAGGUGUUCAAGUUCCUCCGGAAGCUUCCUUGCUUGUGGUGUGCUCCGGAGAAGUUUGUAAAGGUGUGGUGGUCGCCUUCAAGACCAACCCCGAGUGAAUCGAGGCUCAUCCGUUGGGGGUGACUCGAAAAGGAGAAUACGAUGAGUCACUUGGUGAUGCCCCGGAGCUUUGGCUUCGGCACCGCUCUAACGGAGAUUAGCACUCUCACGAGUGUGAACUUCGGGAUAAAUCCGCGUCUCCGACUCACUUGUGGUUAUCUCUUACCCACACCCUUUACUUACCGCAAUUCAUACUUGCUCAUAUUGAUAUAUCUUGCGCUAGUUGAAUUGUUUAGUUGUUCCUACAUUUCCAUAUCUUGUGAUAUAGUUUGUGCUUGCUAGUUUCCUUAAGUGCCUAUCUUGUUUAGCAUAGGUUGUUGGUGCGCUUAGUUGAGCCUAGCAUAUUUAGGAUUUGUGCUUGAAAGGUAUCCGUUUAGUUUAAUUCCGCAUUAGGAUAAAGCCAAAUCCGUAACAGUUUUAAAACGCCUAUUCACCCCCCCUCUAGUCGUCAUCUAGAUCCUUUCAAUUAGCUUCCUCACUAAUUGGUGUAAGUGUCACAGGAACCGGUUUCUGUGAUGAACUACUUUCCAAUAAGGGAGCGGGUAAAGUUACCUCAUCAAGUUCUACUUUCCUCCCACUCACUUCUUUCGAGAGAAACUCAUUCUCUAGAAAGGAUCCAUUCUCAGCAACGAAUAUCUUGCCUUCAGAUCUGCGAUAGAAGGUGUACCCAACAAUUUCUUUUGGGUAUCCUAUGAAGACGCACUUCUUCGAUUUGGGUUUGAGCUUAUCAGGUUGAAACUUUUUCACAUAAGCAUUGCAACCUCAAACUUUAAGAAACGACAGCUUAGGUUUCUUGCCAAACCAUAGUUCAUACGGCGUCGUCUCAACGGAUUUUGAUGGUGCCCUAUUUAACGUGAAUGCAGCUGUCUCUAAUGCAUAACCCCAAAACGAUAGUGGUAGAUCGGUAAGAGACAUCAUAGAUCGCACCAUAUCUAAUAAAGUACGGUUAUGACGUUCGGACACACCAUUACACUGUGGUGUUCCAGGUGGCGUGAGUAGUGAAACUAUUUCACGUUGUUUUAACUGAAGGCCAAACUCGUAACUCAAAUAUUUUACUUCUGCGAUCAUAUCGUAGAAACUUUAUUUUCUUGUCACGAUGAGUUUCACUUCACUCUGAAUUUCUUUGAACUUUUCAAAUGUUUCAGACUUAUGUUUCAUCAAGUAGAUUUACCCGUAUCUGCUCAAAUCAUCUGUGAAGGUCAGAAAAUAACGAUACCCGCCGCGAGCCUCAUCACUCAUCGGACCGCAUACAUCAGUAUGUAUUAUUUCCAAUAAGUCAGUUGCUCGCUCCAUUGUUCCGGAGAACGGCAUUUUAGUCAUCUUGCCCAAGAGGCAUGGUUCGCAAGCAUCAAGUGAUUCAUAAUCAAGUGAUUCCAAAAGCCCAUUAGCAUGGAGUUUCUUCAUGCGCUUUACACCAAUAUGACCUAAACGGCAGUGCCACAAAUAAGUUGCACUAUCAUUAUUAACUUUGCAUCUUUUGGCUUCAAUAUUAUGAAUAUGUGUAUCACUACGAUCGAGAUCCAACAAACCAUUUUCAUUGGGUGUGUAACCAUAUAAGGUUUUAUUCAUGUAAACAGAACAACAAUUAUUCUCUAACUUAAAUGAAUAACCGUAUUGCAAAAAACAUGAUCAAAUCAUAUUCAUGCUCAACGCAAACACCAAAUAACACUUAUUUAGGUUCCACACUAAUCCCGAAAGUAUAGGGAGUGUGCGAUGAUGAUCAUAUCAAUCUUGGAACCACUUCCAACUCACAUCGUCACUUCACCCUUAACUAGUCUCUGUUCAUUUUGCAACUCCCGUUUCGAGUUACUACUCAUAGCAACGGAACUAGUAUCAAAUACCGAGGGGCUGCUAUAAACACUAGUAAAGUACACAUCAAUAACAUGUAUAUCCAAUAUACCUUUGUUCACUUUGCCAUCCUUCUUAUCCGCCAAGUAUCUAGGGUAGUUCCGCUUCCAGUGACCAGUCCUUUUGCAGUAUAAGCACUCAGUCUCAGGCUUAGGUCCAAACUUGGGCUUCUUCACUUGAGCAGCAACUUGCUUGCCGUUCUUCUUGAAGUUCCCCUUCUUCCCUUUGCCAUUUUUCUUGAAACUAGUGGUCUUGUCAACCAUCAACACUUGAUGUUUUUCUUGAUUUCUACCUUCGCCGAUUUUAGCAUCGCGAAGAGCUUGGGAAUUGUUUUCGUCAUCCCUUGCAUACUAUAGUUCAUCACGAAGUUCUACUAACUUGGUGAUGGUGACUAGAGAAUUCUGUCAAUCACUGUUUUAUCUGGAAGAUUAACUCCCAUUUGAUUCAAGCGAUUGUAGUACCCAGACAAUCUGAGCACAUGCUCACUGCUUGAGCUACUCUCCUCCAUCUUUUAGCUAUAGAAUUUGUUGGAGACUUCAUAUCUCUCAACUCGGGUAUUUGCUUGAAAUAUUAACUUCAACUCUUGGAACAUCUCAUCUGGUCCAUGACGUUCAAAACGUCUUUGAAGUCCCGAUUCUAAGCCGUUAAGCAUGGUGCACUAAACUAUCAAGUAGUCAUCAUAUUGAGCUAGCCAAACGUUCAUAACGUCUGCAUCUGCUCCUGCAAUAGGUCUGUCAGGUAGCGGUGCAUCAUGACAUAAUUCUUCUGUGCAGCAAUGAGGAUAAUCCUUAGAUCACGGAUCCAAUCCGCAUCAUUGCUACAAAUAUCUUUCAACUUAGUUUUCUCUAGGAACAUAUCAAAAUAAAACAGGGGAGCUAAACGCGAGCUAUUGAUCUACAACAUAGAUAUGCUAAUACUACCAGGACUAAGUUCAUGAUAAAUUAAAGUUCAAUUAAUCAUAUUACUUAAGAACUCCCACUUAGAUAGACAUCCCUCUAAUCAUCUAAGUGAUCACGUGAUCCAAAUAAACUAAACCAUAACCGAUCAUCACGUGAAAUGGAGUAGUUUUCAAUGGUGAACAUCACUGUGUUGAUCAUAUCUACUAUAUGAUUCACGCUCGACCUUUCGGUCUCAGUGUUCCGAGGCCAUAUCUGGAUAUGCUAGGCUCGUCAAGUUUAACCUGAGUAUUCCGCGUGUGCAAAACUGUCUUGCACCCAUUGUUGAUGGAUGUACAGCUUAUCACACCCGAUCAUCACGUGGUGUCUGGGCACGACGAACUUUGGCAACGGUGCAUACUCAGGGAGAACACUUUUAUCUUGAAAUUUAGUGAGAGAUCAUCUUAUAAUGCUACCGCCGAACUAAGCAAAAUAAGAUGUAUAAAAGAUAAACAUCACAUGCAAUCAUAAUAUGUGACAUGAUAUGGCCAUCAUCAUCUUGUGCCUUUGAUCUCCAUCUCCAAAGCAUCGUCAUGAUCUCCAUCGUCACCGGCAUGACACCAUGAUCUCCAUCAUCUUGAUCUAUAUCAAUGUGUCGUCACAUGGUCGUCUCGCCAACUAUUGCUCUUGCAACUAUUGCUAUCGCAUAGCGAUAAAGUAAAGCAAUUAUUUGGCGCUUGCAUCUUAUGCAAUAGAGAGACAACCAUAAGGCUUUUGCCAGUUGCCGAUAACUUCAACAAAACAUGAUCAUCUCAUACAACAACUUAUAUCUUCAUCACGUCUUGACCAUAUCACAUCACAACAUGCCCUGCAAAUAAGUUAGACGUCCUCUACUUUGUUGUUGCAAGUUUUACGUGGCUGCUACGGGCUGAGCAAGAACCGUUCUUACCUACGCAUCAAAAACACAACGAUAGUUUGUCAAGUUGGUGCUGUUUUAACCUUCGCAAGGACCGGGUGUAGCCACACUCGGUUCAACUAAAGUUGGAGAAACUGACACCCGCUAGUCACCUGUGUGCAUAGCACGGCGGUAAAACCUGUCUUGCGUAAGCGUACGCGUAAUGUCGGUCCGGGCCGCUUCAUCCAACAAUACCGCCGAACCAAAGUGUGACAUGCUGGUAAGCAGUAUGACUUAUAUCACCCACAACUCACUUGUGUUCUACUCGUGCAUAUGACAUCUACGCAUAAAACCUGGCUCUGAUACCACUGUUGGGGAACGUAGUAAUUUCAAAAUUUUCCUACGCACACGCAAGAUCAUGGUGAUGCAUAGCAACGAGAGGGGAGAGUGUUGUCUACGUACCCUCGUAGACCGUAAGCGGAAGCGUUAUAUCAACGCGGUUGAUGUAGUCGUACGUCUUCACGAUCCAACCGAUCCAAGUACCGAAAGCACGACACCUCUGAGUUCUGCACAUGUUCAGCUCGAUGACGUCCCCGCCUUCUCGAUCCAGCAAGAGGGGCGAAGUAGUAUAUGAGUUCCAGCAGCACGACGGCGUGGUGACGGUUUUGGUGAAGUUCAAUCUCCGCAGGGCUUCGCCUAAGCACUACGAAAACUAUGACGGAGGAUAAACUAGAGGGGACGGGGAUGCCGGCACACGGCUUGGUGUUUCUUGAUGUCUUGGGUGCUAGCCCUACCCCUCUAUUUAUAUGUUGAGCCUUGGGGUCGAAACUUGGAGUAAAAGCCUCCACAAAGUCGGUUUCACCCAAAAGGCAAGAGUCCUUCUCGGACUCCAGGGCCAGACGCCAGGGUUCCCGGCGUCUGGACCCAGACGCCAGGGACCCUGGCGUCUGGCCCCUGGACUCCGCAAAACAUCCUUUUGCGCUUUCCAAAUACCUCGUGGGCUUUCCCCUUUGGCCCAGAUAAAGUGUUCUCGUGCCCAAACAUUUCGGGAAACAUUCGGAACCCCUUCCGAUGGAUUCCGGAACCUUUUCGGAGAUCAAACACUACUAUCCACAUAUAAAUCUUUACUUCCGGACCAUUCCGGAGUUCCUCGUCAUAUCCGUGAUCUCAUCCAAAACUCUGAACAACAUUCGGUCACCAACAUACAUAACUCAUAGUACUAUAUCGUCAACGAACGUUAAGCGUGCGGACCCUACGGGUUUGAGAACUAUGUAGACAUGACCGAGACACCUCUCUUGUCAAUAACCAAUAGCGGGACCUGGAUGCCCAUAUUGGCUCCUACAUAUUCUACGAAGAUCUUUAUCGAUCAGACCGCAUAACAACAUACGUUGUUCCCUUUGUCAUCGGUAUGUUACUUGCCCGAGAUUCGAUCGUCGGUAUCUCAAUACCUAGUUCAAUCUCGUUACCGGCAAAUCUCUUUACUCGUUCUGUAAUACAUCAUCCCGCAACUAACUCAUUAGUUGCAAUGCUUGCCAGGCUUAUAGUGAUGUGCAUUACCGAGUGGGCCCAGAGAUACCUCUCCGACAAUCGGAGUGACAAAUCCUAAUCUCGAAAUACGCCAACCCAACAAGUACCUUCGGAGACACCUGUAGAGCACCUUUAUAAUCACCCAGUUACGUUGUGACGUUUGGUAGCACACAAAGUGUUCCUCCGGUAAACGGGAGUUGCAUAAUCUCAUAGUCAUCGAAACAUGUAUAAGUCAUGAAGAAAGCAAUAGAAACAUACUAAACAAUCAAGUGCUAAGCUAACGGAAUGGGUCAAGUCAAUCACAUCAUUCUCCUAAUGAUGUGAUCCCAUUAAUCAUAUGACAACUCAUGUCUAUGGCUAGGAAACAUAACCAUCUUUGAUCAACGAGCUAGUCAAGUAGAGGCAUACUAGUGACACUCUGUUUGUCUAUGUAUUCACACAUGUAUUAUGUUUCCGGUUAAUACAAUUCUAGCAUGAAUAAUAAACAUUUAUCAUGAUAUAAGGAAAUAAAUAAUAACUUUAUUAUUGCCUCUAGGGCAUAUUUCCUUCAACACCGUCGAGCGAGAGGAAGCUAAGGAGGUUGUGGGAAGCUAGAUCCAUGAAGAAGGAAACAAAUCCAUGCCCACAUAAGAGGCUACAAAAGAGGGAGACAUCCUACAAACCCUUUAUCAUAAUCUCUCUCCAUCUUAAAUUGAUACAAUAAAGGUCUUUGAAGCAAUUUGUGCUCAGAAUACAUCGCUUACUCAUGAGGUCAUUGCACUGGAGGAACAAAACCAUGCUUGUCGAAGGAUUAACAGUAAUUUGGAGUACUUAUUGAAGCUGAAGAACAAGCCUACCACCUCAUCACCAUCAUCAUCAAAGAAAGACACUUGAGUACACGGGUAUGGGCACCACCCUUGGCUUGUUCGAAGCUUGGGGGAGGUGCCCCGGUAUCAUAUCACCAUCACUUUUAUCAUCAUUACCUAUCUUAGUUCGAUCCUUAGUUAUUUCAUGAUUUAGAAGAAUAAAUUUUUAGUAUGAUCUAGUUUCAAGUGUUUGUUUUGUGAUCUAUCUAUCUAUGUAAUCGUGUGAAAGUUAUAUAAUAAAUAGUAGUUUGAGUUUGCUUUACUUUCUUGUUUCAAUCCUAGCAAUGAAAUAAAAUAAAGAAUGAAAAUAUCAUAUGCUAAUCCCAUGGGGAGUAAUGAUUUCACAUAAAAUAGUAUAGUUGAUAAAGUUUGUUGGAGCUUAACAAACAUAGCAUUGGUUGUUGGUGCAAUUCAUGAAAAAGUAACAAAGGAAGAGAGGUUUCACAUAUAAAUAUAAUAUCUUGGACAUCUUUUAUUAUUUUGAGCCCCAUUAAAUAUUCUAUAUCAAUUAGUUGAUGUUGGACAAGGAAGACAAUGUAAUGAGUUAUGUUUGCUUCUAUUCACAUAGAAGUUAUAUUACCAUGGAUCCUCUAACAUGUGGUGCUUGUCUAGGAUCUUUUGCUAACCAAAAUUCGCACUAAGUACAGAUACUACUUUUGCAUCCAAAACCCUUAAACCUAGUCUCUCGGAUUGAAUAAGAUCCGUCAAGUAAGUUGUCAUCGGUUCAUAAAGCAAUAAAAAUGGCUCCUAGAUAUGUAUGAUCUUUUAUUGGAAGGCAAAAUAAGCCUUGUAUGAACUUGUGAUGGUGAAGAAAUAAAAGCGACGAACCUCAUAAUAAAGGUCGCCAUCACAAGAGGCAAUAUAAGGUGGCGUUCCUUUCGACUAAGAGUUUGCACAUCCAAAAACAAAAAGUGCAUGACAACCUCAGCUUCCCUCUGUGAAGGGUCUAUCUUUUACUUUCCUGUAUUUAUUUUUAUGCAAGAGUCAAUAAUGUACAUCCCUAUUCCACUCUAUGUACUCUCUAGUUGGCAAGCAUCAUGUGGUGGGGAAUAUAUAUCCAGUUGGAUGUAGGUGACCAUGAGUUAUUAUUGUUGAAACUAUCCUCGAGAUAAACAAGUUGGGUGCUGAACACUAUAAACCACCAUCUUCCUAUGUGUUUGACAUAAACUUUUGCUCUAUAAAUUGAAGGAAAUAUGCCCUAGAGGCAAUAAUAAAGUUGUUAUUUUAUAUAUUUCCUUAUUCAUGAUAAAUGUUUCUUAUUCAUGCUAGAAUUGUAUUACCCGGAAACUUGAUACAUGUGUGGAUACAUACACAAAACACCGUGUCCCUAGUAUGCCUCUACUUGACUAGCUCGUUAAUCAAAGAUGGUUAAGUUUCCUAACCAUAGACAUGUGUUGUCAUUUGAUGAACGGGAUCACAUCAUUAGGAGAAUGAUGUGAUGGACAAGACCCAUCCGUUAGCUUAGCAUAAUGAUCGUUCAGUUUUAUUGCUACUGCUUUCUUCAUGUCAAAUAUAUAUAUUCCGCCGACUACGAGAUUAUGCAACUCCCGGAUACCGGAGGAGUGCCUUGUGUGCUAUCAAACGUCACAAUGUAACUGAGUGAUUAUAAAUAUGCUCUAUAGGUAUCUCCGAAGGUGUUUGUUGGGUUGUCAUAGAUCGAGAUUAGGAUUUUUCACUCCGAGUAUCGAACAGGUAUCUCUGGGCCCUCUCGGUAAUCCACAUCAUAAUAAGCCUUGCAAAAAAAGUGACUAAUGAGUUAGUUGUAGGAUGAUGCAUUACGGAACGAGUAAAGAGACUUGCCGGUAACGAGAUUGAACUAGGUAUGAAGAUACCGACGAUCGAAUCUCGGGCAAGUAACAUACCGAUGACAAAGGGAAUAAUGUAUGUUGUCAUAACGGUUCAACCGAUAAAGAUCUUCAUAGAAUAUGUGGGAGCCAAUAUGAGCAUCCAGGUUCUGCUAUUUGUUAUUGACCAGAGAGGUGUCUCAGUCAUGUCUACAUAGUUCUCGAACCCGUAGGGUCCGCACGAUUAACGUUCGAUGACGAUUUUAUGAGUUAUGUGAUUUGGUGACCGAAUGUUGUUCGGAGUCCCGGAUGAAAUCACGGACAUGAUGAGGAGUCUCUAAAUGGUCGAGAGGUAAAGAUUGAUAUAUAGGAUGAUAGUAUUCGGACACCGGAGGUGUUCCGAAUGUAUCAGGUACAUAUCGGAGUNNNNNNNNNNNNNNNNNNNNNNNNNNNNNNNNNNNNNNNNNNNNNNNNNNNNNNNNNNNNNNNNNNNNNNNNNNNNNNNNNNNNNNNNNNNNNNNNNNNNNNNNNNNNNNNNNNNNNNNNNNNNNNNNNNNNNNNNNNNNNNNNNNNNNNNNNNNNNNNNNNNNNNNNNNNNNNNNNNNNNNNNNNNNNNNNNNNNNNNNNNNNNNNNNNNNNNNNNNNNNNNNNNNNNNNNNNNNNNNNNNNNNNNNNNNCUCUUUUCCCCCUCCGGUAAAAGGAAAGGGGGGAGGUCGAAUUGGACUAGGGGCCCAAGUAGGAUUCCUCCUACUUGGGCGCGCCCUAGGCAGCUUCUCUCCCCCUCCCUCUUUUAUAUACGUGGGGAGGGGGCACCUACAAGACACACCAACGUUCGUUAGCCGUGUGCGGCGCCCCCUCCAUAGUUUACGCCUCCAGUUAUAUUCACGUAGUGCUUAGGUAAAGCCUUGCGCGGAUAACUUCACCAUCACCGUCACCACGCCGUCGCGCUGACGGAACUCUUCUACUUACUCGACACUCUGCUGGAUCAAGAGUUCGAGGGACGUCAUCGAGCUGAACGUGUGCAGGACUCGGAGGUGUCGUACGUUCGGUACAUGAUCGGUCGGAACGAGAAGAAGUUCGACUACAUCAACUGCGUUGGCAAACGCUUCCACUUUCGGUCUACGAGGGUACGUGGACACACUCUUCCCCUCUCAUUGCUAUGCAUCUCCUAGAUAGAUCUUGCGUGAGCGUAGGAAAUUUUCUGAAAUUACAUGUUACGUUUCUCAACAGUGGCAUCCGAGCCAGGUCUAUGCGUAGAUGAUAUGCACGAGUAAAACACAAAGAGUUGUGCGCGGUGAUCAUCAUACUGCAUACCACCAAUGUCUUAUUUUGAUUCGGCGGUAUUGUUGGAUGAAGUGGCCCGGACCAACCUUACAUGACCACGUUCAUGAGACAAGUUCCACCAACAGACAUGCAACUAGUUUUGCAUAAAGGUGGCUGGCGGGUGUUUGUUUCUCCAACUUUAGUUGAAUCGAAUUUGACUGCAGCCGGUCCUUGUUGAAGGUUAAAACAACAAACUUGAUAAAUCACCGUUGUGGUUUUUGUGCCGUAGGUAAGAACGGUUCUUGCUAGAAGCCCAUAGCAGCCACGUAAAACUUGCAACAACAAAGUAGAGGACGUCCAACUUGUUUUUGCAGGGCAUGUUGUGAUGUGAAAUGGUCAAGACAUGACGUGAUAUACGUUGUUGUAUGAGAUGAUCAUGUUUUGUAAAAGUUAUCGGCAACUGGCAGGAGCCUUAUGGUUGUCGCUUUAUUGUAUGAAAUGCAAACAACAUGUAGUUGCUUUACUUUAUCACUAAGCGGUAGCGAUAGUUGUAGAAGCAAUAGUUGGCGAGACGACCACGACGCUACGAUGGAGAUCAAGGUGUCGAGCUGGUGACGAUGGAGAUCAUGACAUUGCUUUGGAGAUGGAGAUCAAAAGCACAAGAUGAUGAUGGCCAUAUCAUGUCACAUAUUUUGAUUGCAUGUGAUGUUUAUCUUUAUGCAUCUUAUUUUUCUUAGUACGGCGGUAGCAUUAUAAGACGACCCCUUAACUAAAUUUCAAGGUAUAAGUGUUCUCCCCGAGUAUGCACCGUUGCGAAAGUUCUUCGUGCUGAGACACCACGUGAUGAUUGGGUGUGAUAGGCUCUACGUUCACAUACAACGGGUGCAAGCCAGUUUUGCACAUGCGGAAUACUCGGGUUAAACUUGACGAUCCUAGCAUGUAUAGACAUGGACUCAGAACACCGGAGACCGAAAGGUCGAACAUGAAUCAUAUAGUAGAUAUGAUCAACAUAGAGAUGUUCACCAUUGAUGACUACUCCAUCUCACGUGAUGAUCGGACAUGGUUUAGUUGAUUUGGAUCACGUAUCAUUUAGAUGACUUGAGGGAUGUCUAUCUAAGUGGGAGUUCUUCAGUAAUAUGAUUAAUUGAACUUAAUUUAUCAUGAACUUAGUCUUGGUAGUUUUUGCAUAUCUAUGUUGUAGAUUGCUACCUCUUGAGCUUGCGUUGGUUUUCCCUUGAAGAGGAAAGAGUGAUGCAGCAAAGUACAGUAAGUAUUUCCCUCAGUUUGAGAACCAAGGUAUUAAUCCAGUAGGAGACAACGCACAAGUCAUCGAAUACCUGCACAAACAAUCAACAACUUGCACCCAACGCGACAAAGGGGUUAUCAAUCCCUUCACGGUUACUUGCAGAAGUGAGAUCUGAUAGAGAUAGAUAAACGGUAAAGUAAAUAUUUUUGUUUUUUUGUUUAUAGAUCGGAAAGUAAAAGAUUGCAAAAUAGUAGAUCGGAAACUAGUUUGAUGUAAAAGAGAACUUAUAUGAUGGAAAAGAGACCCGGGGCCAUAGGUUUCACUAGUGGCUUCUCUCAAGAUAGCAAAUAUUGCGGUGGGUGAACAAAUUACUGCCGAGCAAUUGAUAGAAAAGCGCAAAGUUAUGACGAUAUCUAAGGCAAUGAUCAUGAACAUAGGCAUCACGUCCGUGUCAAGUAGACCGAAACGAUUCUGCAUCUACUACUAUUACUCCACACAUCGACCGCUAUCCAGCAUGCAUCUAGAGUAUUAAGUUCAUAAAGAACGGAGUAACGCAUUAAGUAAGAUGACAUGAUGUAGAGGAAUUAACUCAAGCAAUAUGAUGAAAACCCCAUCUUUUUUAUCCUCGAUGGCAACAAUACAAUACGUGCCUUGCUGCCCCUACUAUCACUAGGAAAGGACACCGCAAGAUUGAACCCAAAGCUAAGCACUUCUCCCAUUGCAAGAAAAACCAAUCUAGUAGGCCAAACUAAACCAAUAAUUCGAAGAGACUUGCAAAGAUAUCAAAUCAUGCAUAUAAGAAUUCGGAGAAGACUCAGAUAAUAUUCAUAGAUAAUCUGAUCAUAAAUCAACAAUUCACCGGAUCUCGGCAAACACACCGCAAAAGAAUAUUACAUCGAAUAGAUCUCCAAGAACAUCGAGUAGAACAUGGUAUUGAGAAUCAAAGAGAGAGAAGAAGCCAUCUAGCUACUAGCUAUGGACCCGUAGGUCUGUGGUAAACUACUCACGCUUCAUCAGAAGGGUAAUGGUGUUGAUGUAGAAGCCCUACGUGAUUGAAUCCCCCUCCGGUAGGAUGCCGGAAAAGGCCCCUAGAUGGGAUCUCACAGGUACAGAAGGUUGUGGCGGUGUAAAAGUGGUUUCAUGGCUCACCUGGAUGUUUUUGGGGUAUAAGAGUAUAUAUAGGCAAAGGAACUAGGUCAGGAGUCCCACGAGGGGCCCACGAGGUAGCGGGCAUGCCCUCCACCCUCGUGGUCGCCUUGUUGAGUCUCCCACUUCAUCUCCAAGUCUCCUGGUUUGCUUCUGGUCCAAGAAAGAUCAUCGCGAAAGUUUCAUUCCGUUUGGACUCCGUUUGGUCUUCCUUUUCUGCGAAACUUUAAAACAGGCAAAAAACAGAAACUGGCACUGGGCUCUCGGUUAAUAGGUUAGUCCAAAAAAUAAUAUAAAAUAGCAUAUAAAUGCAUAUUAAACAUCCAAAACAGAUAAUAUAAUAGCAUGGAAUAAUCAAAAAUUAUAGAUACGUUGGAGACGUAUCAAGCAUCCCCAAGCUUAAUUCCUGCUCGUCCUCGAGUAGGUAAAUGAUAAAAACAAAAUUUUUGAUGUGGAAUUCUACCUAACAUAUUUAUCCAUGUAAUUUUCUUUAUUAUGGCAUGAAUGUUCAGAUCUGAAAGAUUCAAAACAAAAGUUUAAUAUUGACAUAAAAACAAUAAUACUUCAAGCAUACUAAUAAGGCAAUUAUGUCUUCUCAAAAUAACAUGUCCAAAGAAAGCUUAUCCCUACAAAAUCAUAUAGUCUAGCUAUGCUCCAUCUUCGUCACACAAAAUACUCAAAUCAUGCACAACCCGGUUUCAGCCAAGCAAUUGUUUCAUACUUUAGUAUUCUCAAACUUUUUCAACUUUCACGCAAUACAUGAGCGUGAGCCAUGGACAUAGCACUAUGGGUGGAAUAGAAUGGUGGUUGUGGAGAAGACAAAAAAGAGGGAGAUACUCCCACAUCAACUAGGCGUAUUAACGGGCUAUGGAGAUGCCCAUCAAUAGAUAUCAAUGUGAGUGAGUAGGGAUUGCCAUGCAACAGAUGCACUAGAGCUAUAAGUGUAUGAAAGCUCAAAAAGAAACUAAGUGGGUGUGCAUCCAACUUGCUUGCUCAUGAAGACCUAGGGAAUUUUAGGAAGCCCAUUGUUGGAAUAUACAAGCCAAGUUCUAUAAUGAAAAAUUCCCACUAGUAUAUGAAAGUUACAAAAUAAGAAACUCUCUAUCAUGAAGAUCAUGGUGCUACUUUGAAGCACAAGUGUGGAAAAAGGAUAGUAACAUUGCCCCUUCUCUCUUUUUCUCUCAUUUUUCUCUCUUUUUUUUCUUUUUUUUCUUUCCCUUUUUUCUUCUUUUCUCUUUUUUUGUUUAUUUCCUUACAUGGGACAAUGCUCUAAUAAUGAUGAUCAUCACACUUCUAUUUACUUACAACUCGAAAAAAAUGCAACUCAAUGCUUAGAACAAAAUAUGACUCUAUGUGAAUGCCUCUGGCGGUGUACCGGGAUGUGCAAUGAAUCAAGAGUGACAAGUAUGAAAGAAUUAUGAAAGGUGGCCUUGCCACAAAUACGAUGUCAACUACAUGAUCAUGCAAAGCAAUAUGACAAUGAUGAAGCGUGUCAUAAUAAACGAAACGGAGUUGCAUGGUAAUAUAUCUUGGAAUGGCUAGGGAAAUGCCAUGAUAGGUAGGUAUGGUGGCUAUUUUGAGGAAGGUAUAUGGUGGGUGUAUGGUACCGGCGAGAGUUGCGCGGCACAAGAGAGGCUAGCAAUGGUGGAAGGGUGAGAGUGCGUAUAAUCCAUGGACUCAACAUUAGUCAUAAAGAACUCACAUACUUAUUCCAAAAAUCUCUAAGUCAUCGAAACCAAGCACUACGUGCAUGCUCCUAGGGGAAGGGUUGGUAGGAGUUAACCAUCGCGCGAUCCCGACCUCCACACAAAGGAUGACAAUCAAAGAAAUACUUCAUGCUCCAAAUUUGUUACACAACGGUUCACCAUACGUGCAUGCUACGGGACUCACAAACCUCAACACAAGUAUUUCUCAAAUUCACAAUUACUCCACUAGCAUGACUCUAAUAUCACCAUCUUCAUAUCUCAAAACAAUCAUAAAGAAUCAAACUUCUCAUAGUAUUCAGUGCACUUCAUAUGAAAGUUUUUAUUAUAUCCCCCUUGGAUGCCCAUCAUAUUAGGACUAAAUUUAUAACCAAAGCAAAUUACCAUGCUGUUCUAAAAGACUCUCAAAAUAAUAUAAGUGAAGCAAGAGAGUUCAAAAUUUUCUAUAAAAUAAAGCCACCGCCGUGCUCUAAAAAGAUAUAAGUGAAGUACUAGAGCAAUAUUGUCUAGCUCAAAAGAUAUAAGUGAAGCACAUAGAGUAUUCUAAUAAAUCAUGAUUCAUGCAUGUCGCUCCCAAAAGGUGUGUACAGCAAGGAUGACUGUGGUAAACUAAAAAGUAAAGACUCAUAUCAUACAAGACGCUCCAAGCAAAACACAUAUCAUGUGGUGGAUAAAAAUAUAGCCUCAAAUAAAGUUACCGAUAGACGAAGACGAAAGAGGGUAUGCCUUCCGGGGCAUCCCCAAGCUUAGGCUUUUAGUUCUCCUUGAAUAUUACCUUGGGGUGCCUUGGGCAUCGCCAAGCUUAGGCUCUUGCCACUCCUUAUUCCAUAGUCCAUCAAAUCCUUACCCAAAACUUGAAAACUUCACAACACAAAACUCAACAGAAAAUCUCAUGAGCUCCCUUAGUAUAAGAAAAUAAAUCACCACUUUAAGGUACUGUUUCAAACUCAUUCUUUAUUUAUAUCGGUGUAAUAUCUACUAUAUUCCAACUUUUCCAUGGUUCAUACCCCCCGAUACUACCCAUAGAUUCAUCAAAAUAAGCAAACAACACGCGAAAAACAGAAUCUGUCAAAAACAGAACAAUAUGUAGUAAUCUGUAACUCUCAAAUACUUCGGUAACUCCAAAAAUCCUAAUAAAUUAGGAAAACGUGAGCAAUUUGUGUACCAAUCCAUAUCAAAAAGCAUCAGAUCAAAAUCACAUUUCUGUGAAUUAUGAAAAUUAUUUUCCUGGGUGCAAAAGUUUCUGAUUUUCAGCCGGAUCAACACAACUAUCACCGUAAGCUAUCCUAAAGGUUUAACUUGGCACAAACAGUAAUUAAAACAUAAAACCACAUCUAACCAGAGGCUAGAUGAAUUAUUUAUUACUAAACAGGAACAAAAAGCAAAGAACAAAAAUAAAAUUGGGUUGCCUACCAACAAGCGCUAUUGUUUAACGCCCUUAGCUAGGCAUAAAACAUGAAUAGAUCUAGGUAUUGCCAUAAUAAUGAUAGGGCGAAUCACAAAAACUCAUCUCAUACUCUCUACGUUCAGCAGCAAGUUUUCUUUGCGGAAAGCAAAAGUAAUCAAAAGGGCUAAAUUUAAUGGGACAAAAAUCCCCAAAAUCAAGCUCGGGAGGAAUUGGUUCCUCCUUUGACCCUUCAUAUUGUACAACCAACUCAUCAUUGUAAACGUUCUUUUGGCAAAAAGUCAUGAGCUUUUGUUCAAGAGAAAAACCCAACCCGUUGUUUUUAAUAGCCAAAUGAUCAUUAAGCUCAGAAAUCCUAUCAACUAGAACAUCGGUAGGAACCCUCUUUCUUAAAUUUUCAUUAUAAGCAACAUGAUCUAAGGAUCGUAAACGCAUUAUGUCUUCUUGGUUAAAGAGAAUUGCUUCUAUGGAGGACGACCCGCGUCUACCCUAUAAUGCGCAAAAAUUUCGCUAGCCUCUUUUAUUAUAAAUUUGAACUCAUGUGCUAGAAAGAUGGUAGCUGCUCGCUUAACAGAAGAAUGCUCAAUAUUAGAAAACUCUAGAAAAAUCCUUUGUAUGGAUGGGUGCAUGUGAAUAAAUUGUCUUUCAAGUUCAACUAUGGCCAAAGAUAUAGCAUCCGCAAGACUACUAGUUUUAUGGAGAAUAGAUGCACCCGUAGUGGGUAAAGCACCAGCACAAGUAAAGAAAUCUUGGAUAACCCCUUUACCAAUAAUAUUGCUGCUACCAAUGCGAAACUUUUUAGUGUGCAAAACAGUAGGUUCUUCAUGAGGAUUAGUAUUAGCAACAACAUCAAAGUUCCCCUCAUUGUUACUACUAUUUUUUUCAACAAUAACCUCCCCAAUUUCAGACAUGGUGGGAACAAACCAAUCCAACAAACGAGCACACAAGAAGCAAGUGAAAAAGACAAACAGAAGAGAGGCGAAGAAAAGGCAAAUCUUUUCCAAAAUUGUUUUAUAGGUCGGGGAGAGGAAAACGAGAGGCGAAUGGCAAAUAAUGUAAUGCAAGAGAUCAGAGUUUAUGAUGGGUACUUGGUAUGUCUUGACUUGUCAUAGAUCUCCCCGGCAACGACGCCAGAAAUUCUUCCUGCUACCUCUAGAGCUUGCGUUGGUUUUUCCCUUGAAGAGGAAAGGGUGAUGCAGCAAAGUAGAGUAAGUAUUUCCCUCCGUUUGAGAACCAAGGUAUCAAUCCAGUAGGAGAUAAAGCACAAGUCACCGAAUACCUGCACGAUCAAUCAACAACUUGCACCCAACGCGAUAAAGGGGUUGUCAAUCCCUUCACGGUUACUUGCAAAAGUGAGAUCUGAUAGAGAUAGAUAAACGGUAAAGUAAAUAAUUUUUGUUUUUUUGUUUAUAGAUCGGAAAGUAAAAGAUUGCAAAAUAGUAGAUCGGGAACUAGUAUGAUGUAAAAGAGAACUUAUAUGAUGGAAAAGAGACCCGGGGCCAUAGGUUUCACUAGUGGCUUCUCUCAAGAUAGCAAAUAUUACGGUGGGUGAACAAAUUACUGCCGAGCAAUUGAUAGAAAAGCGCAAAGUUAUGACGAUAUCUAAGGCAAUGAUCAUGAACAUAGGCAUCACGUUCGUGUCAAGUAGACCGAAACGAUUCUGCAUCUACUACUAUUACUCCACACAUCGACCGCUAUCCAGCAUGCAUCUAGAGUAUUAAGUUCAUAAAGAACGGAGUAACGCAUUAAGUAAGAUGACAUGAUGUAGAGGAAUUAAUUCAAGAAAUAUGAUGAAAACCCCAUCUUUUUAUCCUCGAUGGCAACAAUACAAUACGUGCCUUGCUGCCCCUACUAUCAUUGGGAAAGGACACCGCAAGAUUGAACCCAAACCUAAGCAUUUCUCCCAUUGCAAGAAAAACCAAUCUAGUAGGCCAAACUAAACCGAUAAUUCGAAGAGACUUGCAAAGAUAUCAAAUCAUGCAUAUAAGAAUUUAGAGAAUAUUCAAAUAAUAUUCAUACAUAAUUUGAUCAUAAAUCCACAAUUCAUCGAAUCUCGGCAAACACACCGCAAAAGAAUAUUACAUCGAAUAGAUCUCCAAGAACAUCGAGGAGAACAUGGUAUUGAGAAUCAAAGAGAGAGAAGAAGCCAUCUAGCUACUAGCUAUGGACCCGUAGGUCUGUGGUAAACUACUCACGCUUCAUCGGAAGGGUAAUGGUGUUGAUGUAGAAUCCCUCCAUGAUCGAAUCUUCCUUCGGCAGGACGCUGGAAAAGGCCCCUAGAUGGGAUUUCAUGGGUAAAGAAGGUUGCGGCGGUGGAGAAGUGGUUUCGUGGAUCCCCUGGAUGUUGUUGGAGUAUAAGAGUAUAUAUAGGCGAAGGAACUAGGUCAGGAGACCCACGAGGGGCCCACGAGGUAGGGGGCGCGCCCUCCACCCUCGUGGCCGCCUCGUUGAGUCUCCGACUUCAUCUCCAAGUCUCCUGGUUUGCUUCUGGUCCAAGAAAGAUCACUGCGAAAGUUUCAUUCCGUUUGGACUCCGUUUGGUAUUCCUUUUCUGCGAUACUCUAAAAUAGGCAGAAAAACAGAAGCUGGCACUGGGCUCUUGAUUAAUAGGCUAGUCCUAAAAAUAAUAUAAAAUUGCAUAUAAAUGCAUAUUAAACAUCCAAAACAGAUAAUAUAAUAGCAUGGAACAAUCAAAAAUUAUAGAUACGCUGGAGACGUAUCAUAGAUCAAUGGCCUGUGCUACCGUUCCCUUGAAUUUUAAUGCGUUCCUAGAGAAAGCUAAGUUGAUAGAUGAUGGUAGCAACUACACGGACUGAGUCCGUAAGUUGAGGAUUAUCCUCAUUGCUGCACAGAAGAAUUAUGUCCUCGAUGCACCGCUAGGUGAAAGGCCUGCUGCAGGAGCAGAUACUGAUGUUAUGAACAUCUGGCAAGCUCGAUCUUAUGACUACUCGAUAGUUCAGUGUGCCAUGCUUUACGGCUUAGAAUCGGGACUUCAAAGACGUUUUGAACGUCAUGGACCAUAUGAGAUGUUCCAGGAGUUGAAGUUAAUAUUUCAAGCAAAUGCCCGAGUUGAGAGGUAUGAAGUCUCCAACAAGUUCUAUAGCUGCAAAAUGGAGGAGAACAGUUCUGUCAGUGAACACAUACACAGAAUGUCUGGAUAUCAUAAUCACUUGAGUCAGCUGGGACUUAAUCGUCCAGAUGAUUGUGUCAUUGACAGAGUUCUUCAAUCACUGCCACCAAGCUACAAAUGCUUCGUGAUGAACUAUAAUAUGCAAGGGAUGGAAAAGACUAUUCCCGAGCUCUUCGCAAUGCUCAAAGCUGCGGAGGUAGAAAUCAAGAAGGAGCAUCAAGUGUUGAUGGUUAACAAGACCAUUAGUUUCAAGAAAAAGGGCAAGGGAAAGAAGGGGAACUUCAAGAAGAAUGGCAAGCAAGUUGCCACUCCCGGGAAGAAGCCCAAAGCUAGACCCAAGCUUGAAACUGAGUGCUUCUACUGCAAAGGGACUGGUCACUGGAAGCGGAAUUGCCCGAAGUAUUUGGCGGAUAAGAAGAUGUCAAAGUGAACAAAGGUAUAUUUGAUAUACAUGUUAUUGAUGUGUACCUUACUAAUGCAAGUAGUUGAAGGAAAUAUGCCCUAGAGGCAAUAAUAAAGUUAUUAUUUAUUUCCUUAUAUCAUGAUAAAUGUUUAUUAUUCAUGCUAGAAUUGUAUUAACCGGAAGCAUAAUACAUGUGUGAAUACAUAGACAAACAUAGUGUCACUAGUAUGCCUCUACUUGACUAGCUCGUUAAUCAAAGAUGGUUAUGUUUCCUAGCCAUAGACAUGAGUUGUCAUUUGAUUAACGGGAUCACAUCAUUAGGAGAAUGAUGUGAUUGACUUGACCCAUUCCGUUAGCUUAGCACACGAUCGUUUAGUAUUCUGCUAUUGCUUUCUUCAUGACUUAUACAUGUUCCUAUGACUAUGAGAUUAUGCAACUCCCGUUUACCAGAGGAACACUUUGUGUGCUACCAAACGUCACAACAUAACUGGGUGAUUAUAAAGGUGCUCUACAGGUGUCUCCGAAGGUACUUGUUGGGUUGGCGUAUUUCGAGAUUAGGAUUUGUCACUCCGAUUGUCGGAGAGGUAUCUCUGGGCCCACUCGGUAAUGCACAUCACUAUAAGCCUUGCAAGCAUUGCAACUAAUGAGUUAGUUGCGAGAUGAUGUAUUAUGGAACGAGUAAAGAGACUUGCCGAUAACGAGAUUGAACUAGGUAUUGAGAUACCGACGAUCGAAUCUCGGGCAAGUAACAUACCGAUGACAAAGGGAACAACGUAUGUUGUUAUGCGGUCUGACCGAUAAAGACCUUCGUAGAAUAUGUGGGAGUCAAUAUGAGCAUCCAGGUUCCGCUAUUGGUUAUUGACCGGAGACGUGUCUCGGUCAUGUCUACAUAGUUCUCGAACCUGUAGGGUCCGCACGCUUAAAGUUCGAUGACGGUUAUAUUAUGAGUUUAUGUGAUUUGAUGUACCGAAGGUAGUUCAGAGUCCCGGAUGAGAUUGGGGACAUGACGAGGAGUCUCGAAAUGGUCGAGACAUAAAGAUCGAUAUAUUGGACGACUAUAUUCGGACAUCGGAAAGGUUCCGAGUGAUUUGGGUAUUUUUCGGAGUACCGGAGAGUGACGGGAAUUCGCCGGGGAGUAUAUGGGCCUUAUUGGGCUUUAGGGGAAAGAGAGAGGAGAGGUUGCGCCCCCCCCCCAAGGCCUAGUCCGAAUUGGACUAGGGGGAGGGGCUGCGCCCCCUCCUUCCUUCUCUUCUCUUUCCCCUUUCCUUGACUCCUACUCCUACUACUUGGAAGGGGGGAAUCCUACUCCCGGUGGGAGUAGGACUCCUCCUAGGGCGCGCCAUAGAGAGGGCUGGCCCUCCCCCUCCUCCACUCCUUUAUAUACGGGGAGGGGGGCACCCCUUGGAGACACAACAAUUGAUCUCUUAGCCGUGUGCGGUGCCCCCCUCCACCAUAAUCCACCUCGAUAAUAUCGUAGCGGUGCUUAGGCGAAGCCCUGCGUCGGUAGAACAUCAUCAUCGUCACCACGCCGUCGUGCUGACGGAACUCUCCCUCAAAGCUCGGCUGGAUCGGAGUUCGAGGGACAUCAUCGAGCUGAACGUGCGCUGAACUCGGAGGUGCCGUGCGUUCGGUACUUGAUCGGUCGGAUCAUGAAGACGUACGACUACAUCAACCGCGUUGUGCUAACGCUUCCGCUUUCGGUCUACGAGGGUACGUGGACACACUCUCCCCUCUCGUUGCUAUGCAUCACCAUGAUCUUGCGUGUGCGUAGGAAAUUUUUGAAAUUACUACGUUCCCCAACAGUAGUAGUGCCUGGGUAUUUGAUACCGGUUCGGUUGCUCAUAUUUGUAACUCAAAACAGGGACUAUGGAUUAAAUGAAGAUUGGCUAAGGACGAGGUGAUGAUGCGCGUCGGGCAUGGUUCCAAGGUCGAUGUGAUCGCCGUCGGCACGCUACCUCUACAUCUACCUUCGGGAUUAGUUUUAGACCUGAAUAAUUGUUAUUUGGUGCCAGCGUUGAGCAUGAACAUUAUAUCUGGAUCUUGUUUAGUGCAAGAUGGUUAUUCAUUUAAAUCAGAGAAUAAUGGUUGUUCUAUUUAUAUGAGUAAUAUUUUUUAUGGUCAUGCACCUUGAAGAGUGGUCUAUUUCUUUUAAAUCUCGAUUGUGGUGAUACACAUAUUCAUAAUAUUGAUGCCACAAGAUGCAAAGUUGAUAAUGAUAGUGCAACAUAUUUGUGGCACUGCCGUUUAGGUCAUAUUGGUGUAAAGCGCAUGAAGAAACUCUAGGCUGAUGGGCUUUUGGAAUCACUUGAUUAUGAAUCAUUUGAUACUUGCGAACCAUGCCUCAUGGGCAAGAUGACUAAAACUCUGUUUUCCGGAACAAUGGAACGAGCCAAUGACUUAUUGGAAAUAAUACAUACCGAUGUAUGCGGUCGGAUGAGUGUUGAGGCUCGUGGCGGGUAUCGUUAUUUGCUGACCUUCACAGAUGAUUUGAGCAGAUAUGGGUAUAUCUACUUAAUGAAACACAAGUCUGAAACAUUUGAAAAGUUCAAAGAAUUUCAGAGUGAAGUGGAGAAUCAUCAUAACAAGAAAAUAAAGUUUCUACGAUCUGAUAACGAAGGUGAAUAUUUGAGUUACGAGUUUGGCCUUCAUUUAAAACAAUGUGGAAUAGUUUCACAACUCACGCCACCUGGAACACCACAGCGUAAUGGUGUGUUCGAACAUCGUAACCAUAUUUUAUUGGAUAUGGUGCAAUCUAUGAUUUCUCUUACCGAUUUACCACUAUCAUUUUGGGGUUAUGCAUUAGAGACAGCUACAUUCACGUUAAAUAGGGCACCGUCAAAAUCCGUUGAGACGACACCGUAUGAACUGUGGUUUGGUAAUAAACCUAAGCCGUCGUUACUUAAAGUUUGGGGAUGCGAUGCUUAUGUCAAAAGGCUUCAACCUGAUAAGCUCGAACCCAAGUCGGAGAAGUGCGUCCUCAUAGGAUACCCCAAGGAAACAAUUGGGUACACCUUCUACCACAUAUCCGAAGGCAAGAUCUUUGUUGCCAAGAAUGGAACCUUUCUAGAGAAGGAGUUUCUCUCGAAAGAAGUGAGUGGGAGGAAAGUAGAACUUGAUGAGGUAAUUGUACCUUCUCUCAAUUUGGAAAGUAGUUCAUCCGAAAAUCCGUUCCCAUGAUGCCUACACCAACUAGAGAGGAAGCUAAUGAUGAUGAUGAUGAUGAUGAACCUUCAGAUCAAGUUACUACUGAACCUCGUAGGUCAACCAGAGCACGAUCUGCACCAGAGUGGUACGGAAAUCCUGUUCUGGAAGUCAUGUUACUUGACCAUGACGAACCUACGAACUAUGAAGAAGCUAUGAUGAGCCCAUAUUCCGAUAAAUGGCUUGAGGCCAUGAAAUCUGAGAUAGGAUCCAUGUAUGAGAACAAAGUGUGGACUUUGGUGGAUUUGCCCGAUGAUCGGCGACCCAUAGAGAAUAAAUGGAUCUUCAAGAAGAAGACUGACGCUGAUGGUAAUGUUAUUGUCUACAAAGCUCGACUUGUCGUAAAAGGAUUUCGGCAAGUUCAAGGGGUUGACUACGAUGAGACUUUCUCACCCGUAGUGCUAGCAAUUGCCGCAUUUUAUAAUUAUGAAAUCAGGCAAAUGGACGUGAAAACUGCAUUCCUUAAUAGAUUUCUUGAAGAAGAGUUGUAUAUGAUGCAACCAGAAGGUUUUGUCGAUCCUAAAGGUGCUAACAAAGCGUGCAAGCUCCAGCGAUCCAUUUAUGGAUUGGUGCAAGCAUCUUGGAGUUGGAAUAUACACUUUGAUGAAGUGAUCAAAGCAUAUGGUUUUAUACAGACUUUCGGAGAAGCCUAUAUUUACAAGAAAGUGAGUGGGAGCUCUGUAGCAUUUCUAAUAUUAUAUGUGGAUGACCUAUUGUUGAUUGGAAAUGAUAUAGAAUUUCUGGAUAGCAUAAAAGGAUACAUGAAUAAAAGUUUUUCAAUGAAAGACCUCGGUGAAGCUGCUUAUAUAUUGGGCAUCAAGAUCUAUAGAGAUAGAUCAAGACGCUUAAUAGGAAUUUCACAAAGCACAUACCUUGAUAAAGUUUUGAAGAAGUUCAAAAUGGACUAGUCAAAGGAAGGGUUCUUGCCUGUAUACAAGGUGUGAAGUUGAGUCAGACUCAAUGCCCGACCACUGCAGAAGAUAGAGAGAAAAUGAAAGUCAUUCCCUAUGCCUCAGCCAUAGGUUCUAUCAUGUAUGCUAUGCUAUGUACCAGACCUGAUGUGUGCCUUGCUAUAAGUUUAGCAGGGAGGUACCAAAGUAAUCCACGAGUGGAUCACUGGACAGCAGUCAAGAACAUCCUGGCGUACUUGAAAAGGACUAAGGAUAUGUUUCUCGUUUAUGGAGGUGACAAAGAGGUCGUCAUAAAUGGUUACGUCGAUGCUAGCUUUGACACUGAUCCGGAUGACUCUAAGUCACAAACCAGAUACGUAUUUAUAUUGAAUGGUGGAGCUGUCAGUUGGUGCAGUUCCAAGCAGAGCGUCGUGGCGGGAUUUACGUGUGAAGCGGAGUACAUAGCUGCUCUGGAAGAAGCAAAUGAAGGAGUAUGGAUGAAGGAGUUCAUAUCCGAUCUAGGUGUAAUACCUAGUGCAUCGGGUCCAAUGAAAAUAUUUUGUGACAAUACUAGAGCAAUUGCCUUGGCGAAGGAAUCCAGAUUUCACAAAAAGACCAAACACAUCAAGAGAUGCUUCAACUCCAUCCAUGAUCUAGUCAAGGAGGGAGACAUAGAGAUUUGCAAAGUACAUACGGAUCUGAAUGUGGCAGACCCGUUCACUAAGUCUCUUCCACAAGCAAAACAUGAUCAGCACCAAGGCUCCAUGGGUGUUAGAAUCAUUACAAUGUAAUCUAGAUUAUUGACUCUAGUGCAAGUAGGAGACUAAAGGAAAUAUUCGCUAGAGGCAAUAAUGAAGUUGUUAUUUUAUAUAUUUCCUUAUUCAUGAUAACUGUUUAUUAUUCAUGCUAGAAUUGUAUUAACCGGAAACUUGAUACAUGUGUGGAUACAUAGACAAAACACCGUGUCCCUAGUAUGCCACUACUUGACUAGCUCGUUAAUUAAAGAUGGUUAAGUUUCCUAACCAUAGACAUGUGUUGUCAUUUGAUGAACAUGAUCACAUCAUUAGGAGAAUGGUGUGAUGGACAAGACCCAUCUGUUAGCUUAGCAUAAUGAUCGUUCAGUUUUAUCGCUACUGAUUUCUUCAUGUCAAAUACAUAUUCCUCCGACUAUGAGAUUAUGCAACUCCCGGAUACCGGAGGAAUGCCUUGUGUGCUAUCAAACAUCACAACAUAACUGGGUGAUUAUAAAGAUGCUCUACAGGUAUCUCCGAAGGUGUUUGUUGGGUUGGCAUAGAUCGAGAUUAGGAUUUGUCACUCCGAGUAUUGGAGAGGUAUCUCUGGGCCCUCUCGGUAAUGCACAUCAUAAGAAGCCUUGCAAGCAAACUGACUAAUGAGUUAGUUGCAGGAUGAUGCAUUACGUAACAAGUAAAGAGACUUGCCAGUAAUGAGAUUGAACUAGGUAUGAAGAUACCGACGAUCGAAUCUCGGGUAAGUAACAUACCGAUGACAAAGGGAAUAACAUAUGUUGUCAUAACGGUUCGACCGAUAAAGAUCUUCAUAGAAUAUGUGGGAGCCAAUAUGAGCAUCCAGGUUCCGCUAUUGGUUAUUAACCGGAGAGGUGUCUCAGUCAUGUCUACAUAGUUCUCGAACCCAUAGGGUCCGCACGCUUAACGUUCGAUGACGAUUUGUAUUAUGAGUUAUGUGUUUUGGUUAACGAAGAUUGUUUGGAGUCCCGGAUGAGAUCACAGACAUGACGAGGAGUCUCAAAAUGGUCGAGAGGUAAAGAUUGAUAUAUAGGAUGAUAGUAUUCGGACACCGGAAGUGUUCCGAAAUGUAUCGGGUACAUGUUGGAGUACCGGGGGUUACCGGAACCCCCCGGGGGAUGAUAUGGGCCAUAUGGGCCAUAGGAGGGGAGCACACCAGCCCACAAGGGGUGGCACCCCCCUUAUGGUAGGAGGCCAAAUAGGGGAAGGAGGUGGGGUUUCGCCCCCAUUCCUUCCUCCUUCUCCUUCCCUCUUCCCUCUUUUCCCCCUCCGAUUAAAGGAAAGGGGGAGGCCUUGGACUAGGGGCCCAAGUAGGAUUCCUCCUACUUGGGCAUGCCCUAGGCUGCUUCUCUCCCCCUCCCUCCUUUAUAUACGUGGGGAGGGGGCGCCUAGAAGACACACCAACGUUCGUUAGCCGUGUGCGGCGCCCCCUGCACAGUUUACGCCUCCGGUCAUAUUCACGUAGUGCUUAGGGGAAGCCCUGCGCGGUUAACUUCACAAGCACCGUCACCACGCUGUCGUGCUGACGGAACUCUUCUACUUCCUCGACACUCUGUUGGAUCAAGAGUUUGAGGGACGUCAUCGAGCUGAAUGUGUGCAGAACUCGGAGGUGACGUACGUUCGAUACUUGAUCGGUCGGAACGAGAUUAAGUUCGAGUACAUCAAGCGCGUUGGCAAACGCUUCCGCUUUCGGUCUACGAGGGAACGUGGACACACUCUUCCCCUCUCGUUGCUAUGCAUCUCUUAGAUAGAUCUUGCGUGAGCAUAGGAAUUUUUUUUGAAAUUGCAUGCUACGUUUCCCAACAUAAAUAUGACGUGAGUGUCAGCAAUCAUAGAAGACUAAAUGAUAGUUGGGUAUGUGAAGUUGGUAAACAAAGCUCUUACAUAGUAUCUUUCUGAAAAUAUGAUGGAUUAUGAUUGUUUCAAUGAUUGAGAUCAUAGUUUGUUAGUUUCCAAUGAAAUUUAUAGUUCAUACUUUAGUUUGUGAAUGAAUAUUUACUUUAGCAUGUGAAGUUUUAUGAUGAUAUAUUGAUGAUAUGAUAAUGAGCAUGAUGCUUUCAUGUAUGUAUUUUGUUUGUAUCGACAUCUCUCUCUCUAAACAUGUGGUCAUGAUUAUUAAUUUCGGCUUACGCUUGAGGACAAGCAAGGUCUAAGCUUUGGGGGGUGAUACGUCCAUUUUGCAUCAUGUUUUCCUACUAUUAUUUAUUCUGUUUUGGAUUGUUAUUUCACUUUAUGAUGCAAUUCUUAUGUCUUUUAUCUCUUAUUUUGCAAGUUUCACAUGAAUAGGGUGAUUGUCGGCAGCUGGAAUUCUGGACUGAAAAAGGCUACAACAGAGAUAGCUAUUCUGCACAACUCCAAAUGACCUGAAAAAUUACGGAGAAUUAUUUUGGAAUACAUAAAAAAUACUGGAGGAAGAAAUACUAGGAGGGGGCCACCAGGGAGCGACAAGCUGAGGGGGCAUGCCCUACCCCCUCGGUGCGCCCUAUGAGCUUGUGGGCUCAAUGGCAGGCCUUCGGUGCUCAUCCUCUGCUAUAUGAAGCCAUUUGCCCUAGAAAAAAAUAAUAAUAAGACUUUUGGGAUGAAGCACCACCGUCUCGAGGCAAAACCUGGGCAGGAGCAAUUUUGCUCUCCGGCGGAGCGAUUCCGCCGAGGUAACUUCCCUCCGGGAGGGGGAAAUCGAAGCCAUCGACAUCACCAAAGAUCCUCUUUUCAUGGGAGGACCAAUCUUCAUCAUCAUCUUCACCAACACCAUCUCAUCUCAAACUCUAGUUCAUCUCUUGUAUUCAAUAUUUGUCCCAAAACCUCAUAUUGGUACAUGUGGGUUGCUAGUAGUGUUGAUUACAUCUUGUACUUGAUGCAAGUUGGUUUAUUUGGUGGAAGAUUAAAUGUUCAGACCCUCAAGCAUAUUCAAUACACCUCUAAUCUUGAACAUGAAUAUGAUUUGUGAGUAGUUACUUUUUUCCUGAGGACACGGGGGAUGUCUUGUCAUAAGUAAUCAUGUGAUGUUGGCAUUCGUUCGAUAUUUUGAUGAUAUGUAUGUUGUUGCUUCCUUUGGUGUCACGUGAACGUCAACUACAUGACACUUCACCAUACUUGGGCCUAAGGGAGGACAUUGUGGAGUAAUAAGUCGAUGAUUGGUUGCUAGAGUGACAUAAUCUUAAACCCUAGUUUAUGCGUUAUUCAGUAAGGGGCUGAUUUGGAUCCAUAUGUUUCAUGCUAUGGUUAGAUUUAUCUUAAUCCUUAUUUCGUAGUUGCGGAUGCUUGUGAGAAGGGGUAAUCAUCAGUGGGUUGAUUGUUCAAGUAAGAACAUCACCCAAGCACCAGUCCACCCACAUAUCAAAUUAUCAAAGUAGCAAACACAAAUCAACUAAACAUGAUGACCGUGACUAGAUGACAAUUCUCAUGUGUCCUCGAGAGCACUUUGCUUUACAUAAGAGAACGUUCCUGCUUUUCCCUUGUUAUAAAAAGGAUUGGGCCACCUUGCUGCACCUUGCUACCAUUGUUACUUGUUACUUGCUACGAAUUAUCCUACGACAAAACUAUAUGUUACCGUUACUUCCAGUGCUUGCAGAAAUACCUUGCUGAAAAUCGCUUAUCAUUUUCUUCUGCUCCUUGUUGCAUUCAACACUCUUACUUAUCGAAAGGACAACAAUUGAUCCCCUAUACUUGUGGGUCAUCAAUAUGCAUCAACACAAUGAGCUGAGACAUGCAACCCAUACUAUACAACACCCAUUUUGUUCUUUUUUAGCUGGAGAAGCUUUUCAUUUUGCAUUAUUAUUGGGUUUUACUCUAGUUACAUGAAAAACUGUGAACACGCAUCACGUUUAUUGGAUAGAUAAGGUGCAUGCAUGCCCAAGCACCAUGCAAGCUGCAGAGAGUUCUAUCACUGGCUAGCCGACAAUGCGUCGCCCCCCUCCAUCCGACACACUGUCGGCAGCUGUGUCGCGGGCUGCUGCGCCUUUGCCACCAUUGGGCUGGCCGCUUGCUGCUCUGCGCUAACAUGGUAUGGGCUGUCGUAGCCUUGUUUCUCUUGUCCUGAUUGCUGCCCUUGUCCUGGUUGGUGUCCUUGUCCUGACUGUUGCCCUUGUCCUGACUGUUGCCCUUGUCCAGGCUGCUGCAGAGAAGUUGGGUAGUACCCUUGUUGCCCUUGUCCUGGUUGUUGCACUUGUCCUAUUUGUUGGCCUUGUCCUAGUUGUUGCGCUUGUCCUGUCUGCUGCGGGGACAUUGGGCAGUGCCCUUGUUGCCCUUGUCCUGGUUGUUGCCCUUGUCCUGGCUGCUGCGGAGAAGUUGGGUNNNNNNN